CAGCGGUCUCGAGGUCUACCGGAAAGAAGUAACGGAGGGGGAACACAAUAAAUAACAGAGCAAUCAAAUCAUCAUAAGCAUAACAUGGCAAUACGCGGUGUUAGGGGUGACCUAACGCAGUACUAGGUGCUACUGGCGAAGGGGGAAAACAUUUGGGAAAGUAUUCCUGGUGUUUCGCUUUUUUGGGUAGAUGAAUCGGAGGUGGGUUGUUGCAUGUUCGAUAUGCUAGGGACGUGUGGCGGACGAACGGACUGCGUAUUCGGAUUCGUCUCGCUUUUCUGAGCAACUUUUAUGUAUAAAACUUUUUCAUCCGAGCGACGGAUUAUUUUAUAUGAUUUUCCAAAGAUUUAAAGAAUUUCUAAAAUUAUGGAUUUAUUUUAAUCCGAAAAUAAACAGUAAACAGAAAAGCUGGGUGCACCUGGUGUAGUGCACCCAACAGUGCACUGGGGCUGACAGUGGGCCCCGGGGCUGCUGAGUUAGCCCCGAGCGGUUAACUAGUCAGAUGAUGAACAGUGCUGGAGGGGUCCGCAUGUCAUAGCCGUUGGGGUUAGUUUAAAUUAAACAGUGUUUAAUUUACGGGGGAUUCUACACGUCAGCGGCCAAUUAGCCUUAGUAUUAGUACUAAAACUAAACUAAACAGGAGACAGAGGAGACGUAAAGCUUUUGCGGCCUGCAGAGUACACAUUAUUGCAUAUGGUUAUGGGCAUUUUUAUUUGUUUCUUUUUUACAACUAUUUUUAUGGGCUUUUAGUUGGGCAUUAAUGUGAUAAAAAUUGAAGGGCGAGUACUAGGCGCCGGCCCGCCGGUCAAACAGUUCGGCCGGUCGCGCCCCAGCCGUCGAUCCGAUUAUUUUAAUCCGUCCAAUUAAACUGUGGAAUAAAAGCUACGGUGCCCCUGUACGCACGCUGAUCCACUUGUAUUACCCAUAAGUCGCUUUUCCAUGUGCAUCAGGGUCAUGCGGUGGAGGUUGCAUGCUGUCGUGUGGGUGGACCCCAUCCAAAUGAUGAUUCGACUUCACUCUGCUAUCUACAUUCAAUAGUUUCAAUCGAAAAAUGUAAGAAAAUCUACACUCGUUGUUAAAGUGUAUUGCAUAUGUAGCAUUGCAGUAAAACUUCACAACAAAAAACCAAAAAUCAAAAUCAAAAAAAAAGUUGAAUGUUUGUAGAAUAAAUUUCAAUACUUAUACAAUGAAAAAAAAUGUUGCAUUGUGCAAAAAGGCUCACAACAAAAACGGAAAAACUAUGGAAGCAAAAUCGUUAUAUGUUUCUGACAUAAUUUUUAGUUUAUGUUUACAACUAAAAAAGCACUCAUGUAGCAGGUCAUUGGGCCGUUGUGGCUUUCAUGAAAACGCGAGCCUCCAUGAAGCUUAUUUUCAUCGCCGGGUUAAAGCUAUUUGCAUCUACAGUUGAAGCUUUUUUUGUCAGCGGUUACAGCUUUUUUUGUUGCAUAGUGUCAUAGUUGAAACUAUUGCAUAUACGGUUGAAGCUUGUUUAGUCAAUGGUUGUAGCUUUUUCCUUUUCAUGGUGCCUAGUUGAUGCUUUUUUCAUCUACGGUUGAAACUUUUUCUGUCAACGGUUGCAGCACUGGCCGGCCCCAGCUUCUGCCAUCUCCGGUUGAAACUUUUUCAUGGUUGGUUGUAGCUUUCUCGGGUGUCGGUUGCAGCUUUGCGGGUUACAUAGAACUGGUUGUAUCACUCAUGCAGCAAAGAAGUCAACACUGUUUCUAGCAAAAUUUACCAUCGUUUUCAGCAAAAUGUCUGUUCUGUUAUAGCAUCUGCGGGAGAGCUGUUUGAGAUGCAUUAGGAGGUAAGGCGAGAGGAAAAAGUGACAAGGCGACCAGGCAAGACCAAGAAUAAGACCAGAAAAAAAUAAAAGAAAAAGGCCCAUCCGACGCAUGUGCAGUCCGUUCCCGCGUGACGUAUCGAGCGAGCGAGGGGCCGGGGGCGACCGGCCGAGCGCUCGGCCGGUCGUCCGGAGGAAAACGUUUCCCAAAUUUAAGGGACUAUGAAGCGGCUGGUGCAUUCCAAGUUCGAUGGGUUCAGCGUUCAGGCGUGACUUUCUACUGGGUUCAGAACACACUCGUACCCAUAUACACGUACAUGUAGAAAAAGAAGAUCGUUGGGUUCAGAUACGGCUGUACGCUAGCUCCGCCGGCCAUGGAGCAGCAGCAGCAUAAAUACGCAGCGGCAGCGGCAAUAGAGGGAGCAUCAACAGGCCGCGAGAAGAAGCAGUGCAGCAACAGCAGAGAGCAGUAGUAGACAACGAGCAGCAGCAGUAGCGCAGCAACGGCAGCGCACCCGGGCGCGGUGGCUAGCGGGCGGGCGGCUGCGCGUGCCGGCAGAGGUGGGGACGGCGAGAGAGGCUGUAGCGGGGCAGCAGGGAUGGGCGCGGACGUGCAAGGGCGACGGGAGGAGGGGCGCCCAGGCCGAGCUAGUGACGAUCAGAGGGCACCGGGAGCGCGGCCAUGGCGUGCGUGGAGCGAAGCUCCGACCGCGACGGCUAAGCUCGGGGGAGGGAACCUACGGCGAUGGAAUCGAUGGGGAAGAAGGGGGAAUCGAAGGAGGGCCUUACCACGGUCGCAUAGAAGGGGACGACGAGGUUGGGGACGCAUUGAAGGCGGCGGAUCGACCGCCGGUGGCCGCGGAUGCAGUCGGGGAGGAAUGAUGAAGACAGCGGCGAUGCGGCGUCCCGACUCGAUCCACCUGAUGAUGAAGAAGAAGUCGUCCAUGGUGAAGUUCCCGGACACGCUAGAUUAGCACGGAGGCAACGAUGGCUGCGACGACGACAUGGCGGCGGACGAGCUCGGGAUCGAGCAAUUGGAGAGGGAGAGGGGCAAGUGGGGGAAGGGGAUUAGGUUUUCGGGGGCGCGAGGGAGAGGGGUUAUAGGCCAGGGGGAAGGCCGGAUGGCCGCCACGCAAGGCUCGGCCGGCCAUGGCACCUCGGAUGGCCUCCACAUCUUUGUUAUGUUUUUUUUAAGAAAUCUCGCCAUCUUUAUUCAUCCAAAACCAUGGUCAUAGGUACAAGGUUUGGGUCAUGAGGAUUGCCCAACCAUACAUGCCUACCUACGCCUAGAUUACAAGCAAACUUGGCAAGAUUAUGAGCCUCAAAAUUAAAAUUCCUACGCUCAAAAAUAAAGGAACUAGAAUUAAAACUAUUACAACGGCUUGAUAUUUCAUGUACUAUAGCCGCAUUUGGACCUCCUGUCCCCUUAGUAAUAUCAUUAACUGCUUCUUGGCAAUCCGAAGCAACACAGAUAUUUUGAACGGCCAAAUCAUCUGCUAGCGAUAAUGCUUCGCGACAUGCAAAGGUCUCCAGAAUUAAAGGGUCAUUGAUACCUCGGAAGACCACAGCUGAAGAUCCCAAAUAUUGGCCCGUUUGAUCUCUGCACAUUGCCGCGACAGCUCCUCAGAGGAGAGGGGAGACUCCAAGUGGGCUGGGCUGCACUAUAGCUUAGCAGGCCUGAGUGCACAAUAGGCUUUAGUUUUUUUACUUUUUAUUGCUCCUGUUGUGUAGUUCAUUUCUGUACCAAAUGAAUUUUGUUGAAUGUGAUACCUGCCACAAAAAUGUUUGGCAAUGUUAUGGAUUGCCACAAAAUGUUUGAGGGCUAUUAUAAUUUGUUUCCAUUUUGUUUUAAACAAAAAUGACUUAAAGGGGGCUGUGUUGAUACUGUUUCAUAUCCAGGGGCUUUUUAAAUAUAUUUUGAGAAAUGUUAACCCCUACAUGAUAAUUAGCUAGUGAAUAUUUGCAACUCAACAAACAUUUUUGUUUUACCGCUUGAAGAAAUGAUAGUUUGACUUUCUUUUAAAUUUGAGUUUGAAUCGGGUUUGGAUCAAAGUGAGGUUUAGCGAACUAACUGCGAUGACACAACACCAUUAGGAAGGAUUACUAUAGCUUAAUUAUCCGGGCGUCACAAUUCUCCUCCACUACAAGAAAUCUCGUCCCGAGAUUUAAGAGGCGUAAGGUGGGGAGGUUCUGGUUACGAAAUUCUAGCGAGUGUUCUCGGUUUUAGUUGCUCUUCUCGAAGAGGUCGAUCCAUCACAUUGAUGUCUUAAUUCCUCUGCUCGAGUCAUCAUGAUGAAGUUAUCGUCCUUCCUUUAGGAUCUUCAUCAUACUUACCAAAAGGAUAAGGGGGUAUUCCGGAAGAACGGGUCGCUAUAGUGUUGCUUAUCUAGUAGAUAACAUCAGGGAAGGUGGCGGAAAGUAACUCUCGAUUUGAAACUUAAGACAUUAUCGAGAGCAAAGUAAGAAGGUGCAAAAUGGAAGUUUCAGGCGCAUAGACAAUCGCCUGUUGCCUGAAACAAAGUGUGAAAGGGGUUUAGAGCAAUGGGAAUAAGCAUUGCGUCCAAUGUUUUAAAUAGCCCGCUAAAGCUCUGCUAUAGCACGCUAUACCGUUUGAAAGAGGUCCUACGCUAAGGUAUUUUGUCCAAACACAUGAGAAAACAUUUUAAAUAGCACACUAUAGCAUCGCUGUAGCACGCUAUAGCAUUUAGAAGAGGCCCGCCGCUAAGAGGCUUAGCGCGCUAUUUAAAACUUUGAUUGCGUCUGAUACCAGAAUAGACCACUAGGCAGGUGGCUCGUGAAUCACAUACGAAGUCAAGCACGAUGAAUAACUUUGACAACAGGGUGUAUAGGAGAGUCAGGUUUCGAUCCUGUGGAACUGUGGGUUAUGGGCCCACCAUGUGGGUUAAAAGUAGGAAGGGCGGUGACGUCUUGCAUGAUCAUGUAAGUAAGGCAUGUCAGAGGAUAGCCUGUCAGUUAUGUCGGCAACAACAUCGGUACCAAGGGCGAGGAACGAAGAGAACCAUUUUCCUGCUUGUUGAACGAGGCGGACCAAUAGGCAAAGUUCUCGACCAUCGGCGGCAACCGGAAUGUCAUCAACAAUAGGUCUGGCUGACAAAAUUGUACACCGAGGUGUUUACAUAAGCAGGGAUAUAUUACUGCUUAUAUAAUAUAGAUCACAAGAAGGUUUAAACAAAUCAAUGGAAAGGAAAAGUGAUUAUCAGGUUUAACAGAACAAUGAAAAGGAAAAUGUGUUUAAACACAUAUUUCAAGGUUAUAUCCUCCCAAGGACAAGUACAACAUGAUAUCCUUGAUAGGAUAUAAUGUAGAAAACUCUUUAGGUAAGGGGAGAGAAAUUUCAUGACAUUACCCAUAUAGUGGUGUUUGGAUAAUUGAGCAGGAAACAUUUAGCAUUGGGCUUCAAGUGUUGUUGUUGAAAAUUGGAGAACCACAGACAUGCUUCGAGAUAGCAUUGACAUGGUCAUCAGGUGAAGAUCAUACUUUAGAAACACAAAGGAUCCAUCAGGAAUAACUUGUAGAAUAAGUCUUACAAUUCUCUCAUGGAAGAAGGGAUAACCUUGCUAAAAAGGAAUCUAUAACAACAAGUCCUCCGGCCAGGUGUGAUAGGCAUGACCUCACCUUACCGAUAUAUAAGGACCAAUGUAAUAACUCUUGGAAAUAUGUUCCAACCAUCAUAUCUGACCGAGAUUCAGACCUGAUUGGUGCCAGGAUGCCUCAGGCUCAGGAUGCCUGAGAAGAAAAGGUGCAACACAAUUGACGAGAUGACAUUGUAAGAUUCUCGGGAAAUGUACUAUGGAAGUGAGUUCCAAAACAAGAGUUCAUCAUUAAAACCAAGGGGAAGAUGAAGAGGUGGCUGAUGAACUCAGCGACAAUUCAUUGAGAUUUUCAAAAGAUGGAUUUCCACACUUAUGUGAACAAGGAGAUAACAUUUGUCGGGUCAAAUGAUAUAAGGAUGUAUGCUCGAGGAAAACAUACACAAUUAAGCAUUGGUUGAAAAGUGCACCCAAAAUAUGGUCUUAGGUAGCAUGAUCAAUGUUAGAGAGGUGAUUCAACAACCAAUAGUCUAAGAAUGAAAUAUCGACCAUUAACUUGCAAGCAAUAGGGUGCUAGAGACAUGAACAAGUUUGUGUUGAACGAAAGGCAAUAAAGUGGUCGAUGAUAACACAAUUCAUCGAGGGGCAAGGAUGGUACUUGUUAUCAUGAAUUCGAUUGAUUUUCUGGAAGGAGUCAAAAUGUUGAUGAUGAUCACGACAAUUUUGUCGAGAGGCUCCAUGAAGAUGUAAUCGAUCGACAAUGACAUCAAGUCAAAGGAAUGAGGAAGCGAAAGGUUAAUGGAUCCAAGGGUACGACACAAACUCCAAACCAAGCUUGCUUUCCAAAGCGAAAUGAUAUGAUGACGAAGAUCGACGUAAGCUUAGCCUAAGCUUGCUGUCCAAAGCGAAAUGAUAUGAUGACGAAGAUCGACGUAAGCUUAGCUCAUCGUCGAAAGUUGUGCUCUGGGAUUAAGAACCAGGUAGCACCGAUAAAAUCAGCACAAUAAUGGUAUAGCCGAUUAGGCUAGGAAUGACUUGAAGGAUUAUUAAACUCGUAGGCAGUGAAAAUUAUUUAGGAGUUCUUGAAUCGAAGUGCGGAAUCGAUUCACUUAUCGGUGUUCUUGAGUGACUAAUAGCUCAGAACCCAGGGAAAUCCGAAAUCGAUGAGAAGCAAUACUAGAUGAAGAUGCAUAGGAAGCAACACAGUUCUUUGAUAUUCUCGAGAUACUGGAGGGUAUACUCGAAGGUAGAGCAUAAUAGAGGUUGGAUAGAUGUAUUGACCUGCAGCAGGCAAGUACUUCAACUUGUCCGGGAAAUGGGAUCAAGGAAGAAUAAUAUGGUCGGAACCAUAGCUGCAGGGGAUCCAAUUUAAGGACAUCGAAAGAAUUACCCAAAUGAUUUAACUAUUUUGCAAGAAGCUCCCAUGAUAAGUUCCACAUCGGGUCCUUGGGCAUGAACACAAGUUCAAGGUCGACUCCCACUUCUUCAAUGUAUAACCUUCCAUUUUACUUCUCGCUUUUGAUGAAGCUGUAGUGUAGAAAUUUUAUCUAGCAAAAUACCAGAAGAGUAUGACUUGUGAAAACUUUCGAGUUCACACAUAAUAAGGAAGGCAUAGGUUCAACCCGUCAGGGUAUCGUGGAAACAUAUACCACAAGCUUCAAUCGUAUAUACCACCAGCUCGAAAACAGAGCAUGGUUGAGAAAACAGAGGAUACAAUUUACCAAAAGCAUUAUGUAUCAGAGGAAAGGCUCACGAGGUUAUUGAAUAAGGAGGACACUAUCGAAUAAUAAUCCAAUAAAGGAUCUGACGGUCCAUAGCAGAGCUGAUGUGAGCAUCGGCACACAAUCAGUUGAAGAAAGGAUGCAAGGGCAUCAGAUUAUAGAACACCUGAAUGAUUCGAUGCUUAGAUAUCAAAGGAAUUAUGAUUUCCAAAUAGAAGGAUCAGAAGCAGACGCUCUGAUCAAGGAUGGAUAAGUUCAAUAGACCUAAGGGUACAAUUGACGGCAAACAGAUUGGUCGAGAACAAGCUCAUGUUCAAAAAUGACGUCUGAGCCAGAAAGAUAAUUUGACAGGAUCAACUGAUGAUUGCGUGCAUUCACACUCAUGUUGAAUCAAUAGGAUCAAAAUGACGGUGUCUAAGGAUACUGGCGAAUAUUGCCAGACAUAUGGAAAGCAUCCAUAAUGCAAGCAGACAAGUAUUGCAGAGCAAUAAGCUACUAAGGAUUUUUGGAGGAUCGAGUAGUAUUUCGAAAAACAUUGUGAAACACAUGAACAACUAGGGGAUGAGCGGAUACUCGAUAAGUGCGAGAAUUAUCCAUAGGGGUAUUCAGGUGACAAAGAACAGCAAGGCAGUAAGCUUAAAGGAUUAUCGAAACAACGAGGAGUAUUUCGGGGUAUCUUGUAAUAACAAUACCAACUAGGGAUAAAUGUAAGAAUAACAACCGCAAGUAGUUAUCCAUAAGGGUUGACGGUGGAAGGGGAAUUCCAAACGCGAUGAACACAAGUUCUCGGGUUAACAGCGGAGAGUAUCUUCAGGGUCUUCACGUGCAGCAGACGAUCAUCAGUAAUAAGGGGCUCUCCGGGUGAAAGUGAUAACGAGAUCCUAAUGUUAGAUUUAGCAAAAUUCAUUUAACCCGAAUAGAAAAGAGAUCAGAGUCCCAGAGUAUAGACAAGGAGUAAAAGAUCCUAAUACCACCCAAUGGCGACGUGGGCCCGUAAGCCACACAGCCAUGUUAGUAAAAGUUUUUCAAUGACUAGACUCGACUUCGGCCAAGGAGCGUGGAAGGGGGAUUCCUACAGGCAUUCGGCUCUGAUACCAACUUGUGACACCCCCAAUUUGACCAUACACUAAUCAUACACGCAAACAUGUACGAUCAAGAUCAGGGACUCACGAGAAGAUAUCACAACACAACUCUACAAAUAAAAUAAGUCAUACAAGCAUCAUAUUACAAGCCAAGGGCCUCGAAGGCUCGAAUGCAAGAGCUCGAUCAUAGACGAGUCAGCGGAAGCAACAAUAUCCGAGUACAGACAUAAGUUAAACAAGUUUGCCUUAAGAAGGCUAGCACAAACUGGGAUACAGAUCGAAAGAGGCGCAGGCCUCCUGCCUGGGAUCCUCCUAAACUACUCCUGGUCGUCGUCAGCGGCCUGCACGUAGUAGUCGGCACCUCCCGAGUAUUAGUAGUCUUCAUCGAUAGUGGCGUCUGGCUCCUGGACUCCAUCGUCUGGUCGCAGCAAUCGGGUAUAGAAAGGGGAAAAUGAGGGACCAAAGCAACCGUGAGUACUCAUCCAAAGUACUCGCAAGCAAGGAGCUACACUACAUUUGUAUGCAUUGGUAUCAAAUGAAAUAAGGGUAUCAUAUGUGGACUGAACUGCAGAAUGCCGGAAUAAGAGGGGGAUAGCUAGUCCUAUCGAAGACUACGCUUCUGGUAACCUCCAUCUUGCAGCAGAAGGAGAGAGUAGAUGGUAAGUUCACCAAGUAGCAUCGCAUAGCAUAAUCCUAACCGAUGGUCCUCCCUGUUGGAAAUAUGCCCUAGAGGCAAUAAUAAAUUGGUUAUUAUUAUAUUUCCUUGUUCAUGAUAAUCGUUUAUUAUCCAUGCUAGAAUUGUAUUGAUAGGAAACUCAAAUACAUGUGUUGAUACAUAGACAACACCAUGUCCCUAGUAAGCCUCUAGUUGACUAGCUCGUUGAUCAAUAGAUGGUUACGGUUUCCUGACCAUGGACAUUGGAUGUCGUUGAUGACGGGAUCACAUCAUUAGGAGAAUGAUGUGAUGGACAAGACCCAAUCCUAAGCCUAGCACAAAGAUCGUGUAGUUCAUAUGCUAAAGCUUUUCUAAUGUCAAGUAUCAUUUCCUUAGACCAUGAGAUUGUUGGAAAUAUGCCCUAGAGGCUAUAAUAAAAGCAUUAUUAUUAUAUUUCCUUGUUCAUGAUAAUUGUCUUUAUUCAUGCUAUAAUUGUGUUAUCCGGAAAUCGUAAUACAUGUGUGAAUAAUAGACACUAGCAUGUCCCUAGUAAGCCUCUAGUUGACUAGCUCGUUGAUCAACAGAUAGUCAUGGUUUCCUGACUAUGGACAUUGGAUGUCAUUGAUAACGAGAUCACAUCAUUAGGAGAAUGAUUUGAUGGACAAGACCCAAUCCUAAACAUAGCACAAGAUCGUAUAGUUCGUUUGCUAGAGUUUUACAAUGUCAAGUAUCUUUUCCUUAGACCAUGAGAUCGUGUAACUCCCGGAUACCGUAGGAGUGCUUUGGGUGUACCAAACGUCACAACGUAACUGGGUGACUAUAAAGGUAUACUACGGGUAUCUCCGAAAGUGUCUGUUGGGUUGACACGGAUCAAGACUGGGAUUUGUCACUCCGUAUGAUGGAGAGGUAUCACUGGGCCCACUCGGUAAUGCAUCAUCAUAAUGAGCUCAAAGUGACCAAGUGUCUGGUCACGGGAUCAUGCAUUACGGUACGAGUAAAGUGACUUGCCGGUAACGAGAUUGAAUGAGGUAUUGGGAUACCGACGAUCAAAUCUCGGGCAAGUAACAUACCGAUUGACGAAGGGAAUUGUAUACGGGGUUGCUUGAAUCCUCGACAUCGUGGUUCAUCCGAUGAGAUCAUCGAGGAGCAUGUGGGAGACAACAUGGGUAUCCAGAUCCCGCUGUUGGUUAUUGACCGGAGAGCGAUCUCGUUCAUGUCUACAUGUCUCCCAAACCCGUAGGGUCUACACACUUAAGGUUCGGUGACGCUAGGGUUGUAGGGAUAUGUAUAUGCAGUAACCCGACUGUUGUUCGGAGUCCCGGAUGAGAUCCCGGAUGUCACGAGGAGUUCCGGAAUGGUCCGGAGGUAAAGAAUUAUAUAUAGGAAGUGCUAUUUCGACCGUCGGGAUAAGUUUCGGGGUCACCGGUAUUGUACCGGGACCAUCAGAAGGGUCCCGGGGGUCCACCGGGUGGGGCCACCUAUCCCGGAGGGUCCCAUGGGCUGAAGUGGGAAGGGAUCCAGCCCAAAGUGGGCUGGGGCGCCACUUCCCCUAGGGCCCAUGCGCCUAGGGUGGGGGAAACCCUAAAGGGGGGGCGCCCCCUUGCUUGGGGGGCAAGCCCCCCACCCCUUGGCCGCCGCCCCCCUAGGAGAUUGCAUCUCCUAGGGCUGGUGCCCCCCUAGGCCCCCUUAUAUAUAGUGGGGGGGAUGGAGGACCUCUUACCUUUGCUUUUUGGUGCCUCCCUCUCCCUCUCCAACACAUCCUCCUCCUCCAUAGAGCUUGGCGAAGCCCUGCCGGAGUACUGCAGCUCCAUCACCACCACGCCGUUGUGCUGCUGCUGGAGCCAUCUUCCUCAACCUCUCCUUGCCCCUUGCUGGAUCAAGAGAAGGAGACGUCACACUGACCGUACGUGUGUUGAACGCAGAGGUGCCGUCCGUUCGGCGCUAGGAUCUCCGGUGAUUUGGAUCACGUCGAGUACAACUUCCUCAUCCCCGUUCUUUAAACGCUUCCGCGCGUGAUCUACAAAGGUAUGUAGAUGCAAUCCGAUCACUCGUUGCUAGAUGAAGUCCUAGAUGGAUCUUGGUGAAACCGUAGGAAAUUUUUUGUUUUCUGCAACAUUCCCCAACACUGGCAUCAUGAGCUAGGUCUACGCGUAGUUCCUUUUGCACGAGUAGAACACAAUUUGUUGUGGGCGUAGAUGUUGUCAACUUUCUUGCCACUACUAGUCUUAUUUUGCUUCACCGGUAUUGUGGGAUGAAGCGGCCCGGACCAACCUUACACGUACGCUUACGUGAGACCGGUUCCACUGACUGACAUGCACUAGUUGCAUAAGGUGGCUGGCGGGUGUCUGUCUCUCCCACUUUAGUUGGAGCGGAUUUGGUGAAAAGGGUCCUUAUGAAGGGUAAAUAUAAGUUGACAAAUCACGUUGUGGCUUUCACGUAGGUAAGAAAACGUUCUUGCUAGAACCCUAUUUCAGCCACGUAAAACUUGCAACAACAAUUAGAGGAUGUCUAACUUGUUUUUGCAGCAAGUGCUUUGUGAUAUGAUAUGGCCAAAGUUGUGAUGAAUGAUGAAUGAUAUAUAUGUGAUGUAUGAGAUGUUCAUGCUAUUGUAAUAGGAAUCAUGACUUGCAUGUCGAUGAGUAUGACAACCGGCAGGAGCCAUAGGAGUUGUCUUUUAUUUUUUGUAUGACCUGCGUGUCAUUGAGAAACGCCAUGUAAAUUACUUUACUUUAUUGCUAAACGUGUUAGCCAUAGUAGUAGAAGUAAUAGUUGGCGAGCAACUUCAUGGAGACAUGAUGAUGGAGAUCAUGAUGAUGGAGAUCAUGAUGAUGGAGAUCAUGGUGUCAUGCUGGUGACAAGAUGAUCAUGGAGCCCCAAGAUGGAGAUCAAAGGAGCUAUGUGAUAUUGGCCAUAUCAUGUCACUAUUAUUAUUUGAUUGCAUGUGAUGUUUAUCAUGUUUCUGCAUCUUGUUUACUUAGAACGACGGUAGUAAAUAAGAUGAUCCCUCAUAAUAAUUUCAAGAAAGUGUUCCCCCUAACUGUGCACCGUUGCGAUAGCUCGUUGUUUCGAAGCACCACGUGAUGAUCGGGUGUUAGAUUCCAACGUUCACAUACAUCGGGUGUAAGACAGAUUUACACACGCAAACACUUAGGUUGACUUGACGAGCCUAGCAUGUACAGACAUGGCCUCGGAACACAGAAGACCGAAAGGUCGAGCAUGAGUCGUAUAGAAGAUACGAUCAACAUGAAGAUGUUCACCGAUGUUGACUAGUCCGUCUCACGUGAUGAUCGGACAUGGCCUAGUUAACUCGGAUCAUGUUAUACUUAGAUUACUGGAGGGAUGUCUAUCUAAGUGGUAGUUCAUUGAAUAAUUUGAUUAGAUGAACUUAAUUGUCAUGAACUUAGUCUAAAUUUUUUUACAAUAUGUCUUGUAGAUCAAAUGGCCAACGUAGUCCUCAACUUCAACGCGUUCCUAGAGAAAACCAAGAUGAAAGACGAUGGAAGCAACUACAUGGACUGGGUCCGGAACCUGAGGAUCAUCCUCAUAGCUGCCAAGAAAGAUUAUGUCCUACAAGCACCGCUAGGUGACACACCUGUUCUCCCUGCAGAACAAGACGUUAUGAACGCUUGGCAGGCACGUACCGAUGACUACUCCCUCGUUCAGUGCGUCAUGCUUUACAGCUUAGAGCCGGGGCUCCAAAAGCAUUUUGAGAGACACGGAGCAUAUGAGAUGUUCGAAGAGCUGAAAAUGGUUUUCCAAGCUCAUGUCCGGGUCGAGAGAUAUCAAGUCUCCGACAAGUUCUUCAGCUGUAAGAUGGAGGAAAACAGUUCUGUCAGUGAGCACAUACUCACUAUGUCUGGGUUGCAUAACCGCUUGACUCAGCUAGGAGUUAAUCUCCCGGAUGACGCGGUCAUUGACAGAAUCCUUCAGUCGCUUCCACCGAGCUACAAGAGCUUUGUGAUGAACUUCAAUAUGCAGGGGAUGGAAAAGACCAUUCCUGAAGUAUUUGCAAUGCUGAAAUCAGCAGAGGUAGAAGUCAAAAAGGAACAUCAAGUGUUGAUGGUGAAUAAAACCACUAAGUUCAAGAAGGGCAAGGGAAAGAAAGCUUUCAAGAAGGACGGCAAGGGAGUUGCCGCGCCCGGCAAGCAAGCUGCCGGGAAGAAGCCAAAGAAUGGACCCAAGCCCGAGACUGAGUGCUUUUAUUGCAAGGGAAGUGGUCACUGGAAGCGGAACUGCCCCAAAUACUUAGCGGACAAGAAGGCCGGCAUCAUGAAAGGUAUAUGUGAUAUACAUGUAAUUGAUGUGUACCUUACCAGUAGUCAUAGUAGCUCAUGGGUAUUUGAUACCGGUGCGGUUGCUCACAUUUGUAACUCAAAACAGGAGCCGCGGAAUAAGCGGAGACUGGCGAAGGACGAGGUGACAAUGCGUGUCGGGAAUGGUUCCAAGGUCAAUGUGAUCGCCGUCGGCACGCUACCUCUACAUUUACCUUCGGGAUUAGUUUUAAACCUUAAUAAUUGUUAUUUAGUGCCAGCUUUGAGCAUGAACAUUGUAUCAGGAUCUCGUUUAAUUCGAGAUGGCUACUCAUUUAAAUCGGAGAAUAAUGGUUGUUCUAUUUAUAUGAGAGAUAUGUUUUAUGGUCAUGCUCCGAUGGUGAAUGGUUUAUUCUUAAUGAAUCUCGAGCGUAAUGCUACACAUGUUCAUAGUGUGAGUACCAAAAGAUGUAAGAUUGAUAAUGAUAGUCCCACAUACUUGUGGCACUGCCGCCUUGGUCACAUAGGUGUCAAACGCAUGAAGAAGCUCCAUGCUGAUGGACUUUUAGAGUCUCUUGAUUACGAAUCGUUUGACACGUGCGAACCAUGCCUCAUGGGUAAAAUGACCAAGACCCUGUUCUCAGGAACAAUGGAGCGAGCAACCAACUUAUUGGAAAUCAUACAUACUGAUGUGUGCGGUCCAAUGAGUGUUGAGGCUCGCGGUGGCUAUCGUUAUGUUCUCACCCUCACUGAUGACUUGAGUAGAUAUGGGUAUGUCUACUUAAUGAAACACAAGUCUGAGACCUUUGAAAAGUUCAAGGAAUUUCAGAGUGAGGUUGAGAAUCAACGUGACAGGAAAAUCAAGUUCCUGCGAUCAGAUCAUGGAGGAGAAUACUUGAGUCACGAGUUUGGCACACACUUAAGAGAAUGUGGAAUAGUUUCACAACUCACGCCGCCUGGAACACCUCAGCGUAAUGGUGUGUCCGAACGACGUAAUCGCACUCUGUUAGAUAUGGUGCGAUCUAUGAUGUCUCUUACCGAUUUACCGCUAUCUUUUUGGGGCUAUGCUUUAGAGACUGCCGCAUUCACUUUAAAUAGGGCUCCGUCGAAAUCCGUUGAGACGACACCGUAUGAAUUAUGGUUUGGGAAGAAACCUAAGCUGUCGUUUCUAAAAGUUUGGGGAUGCGAUGCUUAUGUCAAGAAACUUCAACCUGAAAAGCUCAAACCCAAGUCGGAAAAAUGCGUCUUCAUAGGAUACCCUAAAGAAACUAUUGGGUAUACCUUCUACCUCAGAUCCGAAGGCAAGAUCUUUGUUGCCAAGAAUGGAUCCUUUCUAGAGAAAGAGUUUCUCUCGAAAGAAGUAAGUGGGAGGAAAGUAGAACUUGAUGAAGUAUUACCUCUUGAACCGGAAAAUGGCGCAACUCAAGAAAAUGUUCCUGAGGUGCCUGCACCGACUAGAGAGGAAGUUAAUGAUGAUGAUCAUGAAACUUCAGAUCAAGUUGCUACUGAACUUCGUAGGUCCACAAGGACACGUUCCGCACCAGAGUGGUACAACAACCCUGUCUUGGAAAUCAUGUUGUUAGACAACGGUGAACCUUCGAACUAUGAAGAAGCGAUGGCGGUCCUGGAUUCCGACAAAUGGCUAGAAGCCAUGAAAUCCGAGAUAGGAUCCAUGUAUGAAAACGAAGUAUGGACUUUGACUGACUUGCCUGUUGAGGAGCGAGCCAUAGAAAAUAAGUGGAUCUUUAAGAAGAAGACAGACGCGGAUGGUAAUGUGACCAUCUAUAAAGCUCGGCUUGUCGCUAAGGGUUAUCGACAAGUUCAAGGGGUUGACUACGAUGAGACUUUCUCACCGGUAGCGAAGCUAAAGUCCGUCCGAAUCAUGUUAGCAAUUGCCGCAUUCUAUGAUUAUGAGAUAUGGCAAAUGGACGUCAAAACUACAUUCCUUAAUGGUUUCCUUAAGGAAGAAUAGUAUAUGAUGCAGCCGGAAGGUUUUGUCGAUCCUAAGAAUGCUGACAAGGUGUGCAAGCUCCAACGCUCGAUUUAUGGGCUGGUGCAAGCAUCUCAGAGUUGGAACAUUCGCUUUGAUGAGAUUAUCAAAGCGUUUGGGUUUACGCAGACUUAUGGAGAAGCCUGUGUUUACAAGAAAGUGAGUGGGAGCUCUGUAGCAUUUCUCAUAUUAUUUGUAGAUGACAUACUUUUGAUGGGAAAUGAUACAGAACUCUUGGACAACAUUAAGGCCUACUUGAAUAAGAGUUUUUCAAUGAAGGACCUUGGAGAAGCUGCAUAUAUAUUAGGCAUCAAGAUCUAUAGAGAUAGAUCAAGAUGCCUCAUAGGUCUUUCACAAAGCACAUACCUUGAUAAGAUAUUGAAUAAAUUCAAUAUGGAUCAGUCUAAGAAGGGGUUCUUGCCUGUGUUACAAGGUGUGAAAUUGAGCUCAGCUCAAUGUCCGACCACGGCAGAAGAUAUAGAAGAGAUGAGUGUCAUCCCCUAUACCUCAGCCAUAGGUUCUAUUAUGUAUGCCAUGCUGUGUACCAGACCUGAUGUAAACCUUGCCGUAAGUUUGGUAGGAAGGUACCAAAGUAAUCCUGGCAAGGAACACUGGACAGCGGUCAAGAAUAUCCUGAAGUACCUGAAAAGGACUACGGAAAUGUUUCUCGUUUAUGGAGGUGACGAAGAGCUCGUCGUAAAAGGUUACAUCGACGCUAGCUUCGACACAGAUCUGGAUGACUCCAAGUCACAAACCGGAUACGUGUAUAUUUUGAAUGGUGGGGCAGUAAGCUGGCGCAGUUGCAAGCAGAGCGUCGUGGCGGGAUCUACAUGUGAAGCGGAGUACAUGGCAGCCUCGAAGGCAGCGCAUGAAGCAAUUUGGGUGAAGGAGUUCAUCACCGACCUACGAUUCAUACCCAAUGCGUCGGGGCCAAUCAAACUCUUCUGUGACAACAUUGGAGCUAUUGCACUUGCCAAGGAGCCCAGGUUUCACAAGAAGACCAGGCACAUCAAGCGUCGCUUCAACUCCAUUCGUGAAAAUGUUCAAGAUGGAGACAUAGAUUUUUGUAAAGUACAUACGGACCUGAAUGUAGCAGAUCCGUUGACUAAACCUCUCCCUAGAGCAAAACAUGAUCAACACCAGAAUUCCAUGGGUGUUCGAUUCAUCACAAUGUAACUAGAUUAUUGACUCUAGUGCAAGUGGGAGACUGUUGGAAAUAUGCCCUAGAGGCUAUAAUAAAAGCAUUAUUAUUAUAUUUUCUUGUUCAUGAUAAUUGUCUUUAUUCAUGCUAUAAUUGUGUUAUCCGGAAAUCGUAAUACAUGUGUGAAUAAUAGACACUAACAUGUCCCUAGUAAGCCUCUAGUUGACUAGCUCGUUGAUCAACAGAUAGUCAUGGUUUCCUGACUAUGGACAUUGGAUGUCAUUGAUAACGAGAUCACAUCAUUAGGAGAAUGAUGUGAUGGACAAGACCCAAUCCUAAACAUAGCACAAGAUCGUAUAGUUCGUUUGCUAGAGUUUUCCAAUGUCAAGUAUCUUUUCUUUAGACCAUGAGAUCGUGUAACUCCCGGAUACCGUAGGAUUGCUUUGGGUGUACCAAACGUCACAACGUAACUGGGUGACUAUAAAGGUAUACUACGGGUAUCUCCGAAAGUGUCUGUUGGGUUGACACGGAUCAAGACUGGGAUUUGUCACUCCGUAUGACGGAGAGGUAUCACUGGGCCCACUCGGUAAUGCAUCAUCAUAAUGAGCUCAAAGUGACCAAGUGUCUGGUCACGGGAUCAUGCAUUACGGUACAAGUAAAGUGACUUGCCGGUAACGAGAUUGAACAAGGUAUUGGGAUACCGACGAUCGAAUCUCGGGCAAGUAACAUAACGAUUGACGAAGGGAAUUGUAUACGGGGUUGCUUGAAUCCUCGACAUCGUGGUUCAUCCGAUGAGAUCAUCGAGGAGCAUGUGGGAGCCAACAUGGGUAUCCAGAUCCGCUGUUGGUUAUUAACCGGAGAGCGAUCUCGGUCAUGUCUACAUGUCUCCCGAACCCGUAGGGUCUACACACUUAAGGUUCGGUGACGCUAGGGUUGUAGGGAUAUGUAUAUGCAGUAACCCUAAUGUUGUUUGGAGUCCCGUAUGGGAUCCCGGACGUCAUGAGGAGUUCCAGAAUGGUCCGGAGGCAAAGAAUUAUAUAUAGGAAGUGCUAUUUCGGCCGUCGGGACAAGUUUUGGGGUCACCGGUAUUGUACCGGGACCACCGAAAGGGUCCCGGGGGUCCACCGGGUGGGGCCACCUCUCCCGGAGGGUCCCAUGGGCUGAAGUGGGAAGGGAUCCAGCCCAAAGUGGGCUGGGGCGCCACUUCCCCUAGGGCCCAUGUGCCUAGGGUGGGGGAAACCCUAAAGGGGGGGCGCCCCCUUGCUUGGGGGGCAAGCCCGGCGCCCCCCUAGGCCCCCCUAUAUAUAGUGGGGGGGGAUGGAGGACCUCUUACCUUUUCUUUUGGUGCCUCCCUCUCCCUCUCCAACACAUCCUCCUCCUCCAUAGAGCUUGGCGAAGCCCUGCCGGAGUACUGCAGCUCCAUCACCACCACGCCGUCGUGCUGCUGCUGGAGCCAUCUUCCUCAACCUCUCCUUGCCCCUUGCUGGAUCAAGAAGAAGGCGACGUCACGCUGACCGUACGUGUGUUAACGCGGAGGUGCCGUCCGUUCGGCGCUAGGAUCUCCGGUGAUUUGGAUCACGUCGAGUACAACUUCCUCAUCCCCGUUCUUUAAACGCUUCCGCACGUGAUCUACAAAGGUAUGUAGAUGCAAUCCGAUCACUCGUUGCUAGAUGAACUCCUAGAUGGAUCUUGGUGAAACCGUAGGAAACUUUUUGUUUUCUGCAACUUUCCCCAACAGAGAUUGUGCAACUCCCGGAUACCGUAGGAGUGCUUUGGGUGUGCCAAACAUCACAACGUAACUGGGUGGCUAUAAAGGUACACUACAGGUAUCUCUGAAAGUGUCUGUUGGGUUGGCACGAAUCGAGACUGGGAUUUGUCACUCCGUGUAAACGGAGAGGUAUCUCUAGGCCCACUCGGUAGGACAUCAUCAAAAUGUUUACAAUGUGAUCAAGGAGUUAAUCACGGGAUGAUGUGUUACGGAACGAGUAAAGAGACUUGUCGGUAACGAGAUUGAACAAGGUAUCGGGAUACUGAUGAUCGAAUCUCGGGCAAGUAUCGUACCGCUAGACAAAGGGAAUUGUAUACGGGAUUGAUUAAGUCCUUGACAUCAUGGUUCAUCCGAUGAAAUCAUCGUGGAACAUGUGGGAGCCAACAUGGGUAUCCAGAUCCUGCUGUUGGUUAUUGACCGGAGAGUUGUCUCGGCCAUGUCUGCAUGACUCACGAACCCGUAGGGUCUACACACUUAAGGUUCGAUGACGCUAGGGUUAUAGGGAAAGUAUGUACAUGGUUACCGAAUGUUGUUCGGAGUCCCGGAUGAGAUCUCGGAUGUCACGAGGAGUUCCGGAAUGGUCCGGAGCUAAAGAUUGAUAUAUAGGAAGUAUGGUUUUGGCCACCGAAAGUGUUCCGGGCAUCACCGGUGGUGUACCGGGACCACCGGAGGGGUCCAGGGGUCCACCAGGUGGGGCCACCAGCCCCGGAGGCUUACAUGGGCCAAUAGUGGGAAGGGACCAGCCCCUAGGUGGGCUGGGGUGCCUCCCACCAAGGCCCAAGGCGCCUCCAAGAGGGGAAGGGGGCAAACCCUAGGGCAGAUGGGCCCUAAGGCCCACCUCAGGUGCGCCUCCCCCUCUCCCCUUGUGGCCGCCACCCCAGAGGAUCUGGGGGCUGCCGCCACCCCUAGGGAGUGAACCCUAGGUGGGGGCUCAGCCCUCCCUCUCCCCCUAUAUAUAGUGGAGGCUAAGAGGCAGCCCAACACACGAACUCUUCCCCUGUUGGUGCAGCCCUACCCCUCUCCCUCCUCGUAUCUCAUAGUGCUUGGCGAAGCCCUGCAGGAUUCCCGCGCUCCUCCACCACCACCACGCCAUCGUGCUGCUGCUGGAUGGAGUCUCCCCAACCUCUCCUUCUCCCCUUGCUGGAUCAAGGCGUAGGAGACGUCACCGGGUUGUACGUGUGUUGAACACGGAGGUGCCGUCCGUUCGGCACUAGGAUCAUCGGUGAUUUGGAUCACGACGAGUACGACUCCAUCAACCCCAUUCACUUGAACGCUUCCGCUUAGCAAUCUACAAGGGUAUAUAGAUGCACUCUCCUUCCCCUCGUUGCUAGAUUACUCCAAAGAUUGAUCUUGGUGAUGCGUAGAAAAUUUUAAAUUUCUGCUAUGAUCCCCAACAGUGGCAUCAUGAGCUAGGUCUAUGCGUAGUUUCUAUGCAUGAGUAGAACACAAAGCAGUUGUGGGCGUCGAUUUUGUCAAUUUACUUGCCGUUACUAGUCUUAUCUUGAUUCGGCAGCAUCGUGGGAUGAAGCGGCCCAGACCGACCUUAAACGUACUCUUGCGUGAGACUGGUUCCACCGACUGACAUGCUAGUUGCAUAAGGUGGCUGGCGGGUGUCUGUCUCUCCCACUUUAGUCGGAUCGGAUUCGAUGAAAAGGGUCCUUAUGAAGGGUAAAUGGAAAUUGGCAUAUCACGUUGUGGUUUUCGCGUAGGUAAGAAACGUUCUUGCUAGAAACCUAUAGCAGCCACGUAAAAACUUGCAACAACAAUUAGAGGACGUCUAACUUGUUUUUGCAGCAAGUGUUUUGUGAUGUGAUAUGGCCAAAGGUUGUGAUGAAUGAUGAAUGAUAUAUGUGAUGUAUGAGAUUGAUCAUGUUCUUGUAAUAGGAAUCACGACUUGCAUGUCGAUGAGUAUGACAACCGGCAGGAGCCAUAGGAGUUGUCUUUAUUUAUUUAUGACCUGAGUGUCAACAUAAAUGUCAGGUAAUUACUUUACUUUAUUGCUAAAGCGUUAGCCAUAGUAGUAGAAGUAAUAGAUGACGAGACAACUUCAAGAAGACACGAUGAUGGAGAUCAUGGUGUCAUGCCGGUGACAACGAUGAUCAUGGAGCCCCGAAGAUGGAGAUCAAAAGGAGCAAAAUGAUAUUGGCCAUAUCAUGUCACUAUUUGAUUGCAUGUGAUGUUUAUCAUGUUUUACAUCUUAUUUGCUUAGAACGACGGUAGCUUAAAUAAGAUGAUCCCUCACUAAAAUUUAAAGAAAGGUGUUCCUCCUAACUGUGCACUGUUCCGAAGGUUCGUUGUUUCGAAGCACCACGUGAUGAUCGGGUGUGAUAGAUUCUAAUGUUCGAAUACAACGGGUGUAAGCCAGAUUUACACAGCAAAAACACUUAGGUUGACUUGACGAGCCUAGCAUGUACAGACAUGGCCUCGGAACACGGAAGACCGAAAGGUCGAGCAUGAGUCGUAUAGAAGAUACGAUCAACAUGAAGAUGUUCACUGAUGUUGACUAGUCCGUCUCACGUGAUGAUCGGACACAGCCUAGUUGACUCGGAUCAUGUUUCACUUAGAUGACUAGAGGGAUGUAUAUCUGAGUGGGAGUUCAUUAAAUGAACUCAAUUAUCAUGAACAUAGUCUAAAUUGUCUUUGCAAAUAUGUUGUUGAUAAAUAGCUCACGUUGUAGCUCCCUGUUUCAAUACGUUCCUAGAGAAAGACCAAGUUGAAAGAUAUUGUAAGCACUGAUGCGGACUAGGUCCGUAGUCUGAGGAGUAUCCUCACUGCUACACAGAAGGCUUACGUCUUUGAUGCACCGCUCGAUGUGCAAACCCCUACAACGUCGUCUGUGGAUGUUGUGAACACCUGACAGACACAUCCUGAUGACUACUUGAUAGUUUAGUGCACCAUACUUUACGGCUUAGAAUCGGGAUUCCAAUGACGUUUUGAACGCCACAGAACAUAUGAGAUGUUCCAAGAGCUGAAAUUGGGAUUUCAGGCUCAUGCCCGUGUUGAGAGGUGUGAGACCUCUGACAAGUUCUUUUGCCAACAAGAUGGAGGAGAAGCAUGUGCUCAGAAUGUCUGGGUGCUACAAUCACUUAAAUCAAGUGGGAGUUAAACUUCCAGAUAAGAUAGUGAUUGAUAGAGUUCUCUAGCCACUAUCACUAAGCUACUAGAUCUUCGUGAUGAACUAUGACAUGCAAGGGAUGGAGUUGAUCCCGGAGCUGUUCGCGGUGCUUAAGACCGCAAAAGGUAGAAAUCAAUAAGGAGCAUCAAGUGUUGAUGGUUUAAUAAGACCACUAGUUUCAAGAAGGGCAAGGGCUAGAAGGGAAACUUUAUGGAUGGCAAACCAGUUGCCGCUCCAGUAAAGGAACCCAAGGUUGAAUCCAAACCCGAGACUAAGUGCUUCUAUUGUAAAGGGGAUGGUCACUGGUAGCGGAAUUACCCCAAAUGCAUGGUAGAUAAGAAGGCUGGCAACUUCAACAAAGUAUAUACAUGUUAUUAAUGUGUACCUCGCUAGUACUCCUGGUAGCACCUGGGUAUUGGAUACCGGUUCAGUUGCUAUUACUGGUGACUUGAAGCAAAAGCUACGGACUAAACGGAGACUGGCUAAGGGCGAGGUGACAAUGUGUGUUGGAAGUAUUUCCAAAGUUGAUGAGAUCACCAUCGCACGCUCCAUCUACCUUCGGGAUUAGUAUUGAACCUAGAUAAAUGUUAUCAGGUGUCUACGUUGAGCAUGAAUAUGAUUGGAUCAUGUUCAUUGCAAUACGGUCAUUCAUUUAAGUUAGAGAAUAAUGGUUAUUCUGUUUACAUGAAUGAUACCUUUCAUGGUCAUGCACCCUAUGUGAAUGGUUCAUUGAAUCUCGGUCGUGGUGAUACACAUGUUCACGCCAAAAGAUGUAGAGUUAAUAAUGAUAGUACCACUUUCUUGUGGCAUUGCCGCUUAGGUCAUAUUGGCAUAAGAUGCAUGAAGAAAGUCCAUGUCGAUGGAUGUUUGGAGUCACUUGAUUUUGAAUCGCUUGACACAUGUGAGCCAUGCCUCAUGGGCAGGAUGACUAAGACCCCAUUUUCAGGUACAAUGAAACAGGCAAGUGACUUGUUGGAAAUCAUACAUACAGAUGUGUGUGAUCCAAUGAGAAUUGAAGCGCACGGUGGAUAUCACUAUUUUCUCAUCUUCACAGACGAUUUGAGUAGAUAUAGGUAUAUUUACUUAGUGAAGCACAAGUCUGAAACGUUUGAAAGGUUCAAGUAAUUUCAGAGUGAAGUUAAGAAUCAUCAUAACAAUAAGAUCAUGUUCCUGCGAUCUGAUCAAAAGGGGAUUUUCUGAGUUGUGAGUUUGGCGAUCACUUAAGACAUUGUGGAAAUGUUUCAUAGUUGAAGCCACCUGGAACACCACAGGGUAAUGGUGUGUCCGGACGUCGUAAUCGAACCUUAUGAGAUAUGGUGCGAUCUAUGAUGUCUCUUAUCAAUCUAGCAUUUUCAUUUUGAGGUUAUGCGUUAGAGACAGGUGCAUUCACUUUAGAUAGGACACCAUCUAAGUCCGUUGAGACGGCGUCGUAUGAACAUUGGUUUGGCAAGAAACCAAAGUUGUCGUUUCUUAAUGUUUGGGGCUGCGAUGCUUAAGGCUUCAGCCGGAGAAGCUCAAACCCAAAGCGGACGAACGCAUCUUCAUAGGAUACCCAAAGGUGACAGUAGGGUAUACCUUCUAUCUCAGAUCCGAGGGCAAAUUGUUUGUCGAUAAGAACGGGUCCUUUCUCAAGAAGGAGUUUCUCUCGAAAGAAUUGAGUGGGAGGAAGAUAGAACUUGAUAAGGUUGUCGAACCUUUAUUUCAACCAGAGAGUGAUGCAACACAGAAAGAUAUUUUCUGUGGAGCCUACAUCUGUUGAAUAAGAAGUUAAUGAUAGUGAUCAUGAAGCUUCGGAUCAAGUUGCUAUGGAACCCGUAGGUCGACAAGGAUAUGUACUACUCCUAAGUGGUAUGGUAAUCAUGUCUUAGAUAUCAUGUUGUUAGACAACAAUGAACCUAUGAGCUAUGGAGAAGCGAUGGUGGGCCCGUAUUCCGACAAAUGGUUAGAAGCCAUGAAAUCCGAGAUAGGAUCCAUAUAUCAGAACAAAGUAUGGACUUUGGUAGACUUGCCCGAUGAUCGGCAAGCCAUUGAGAUAAAUGGAUCUUUAAGAAGAAGACGGACGUGGGCGGUAAUGUUGCCGUCUAUGAAGCUCGACUUGUGGGAAAGACUCUUUUCACAAGUUCAAGGAGUUAACUACGAUGAGAAUUUCUCACCCGUAGCGAUGCUUAAGUCUGUCAAAAUCAUGAUAGCAUUAGCUGUAUUUUUCGAUUAUGAAAUCUUACAGAUGGAUGUCAAAACAAGUUUUCUUACCCGUUUUCGUAAGAAAAGUUGUAUGUGAUACAAUAAAAGGUUUUGUCGAUCCUAAGGAUGCUAAAAGGCAUGCUGGCUCCAGCAAUCCUUCUAUGGACUAGAGCAAGCAUCUCGGAGUCGGAAUAUAUGUUUUGAUGGAGUGAUCAAAGCUUUUAGGUUUAUACAAUGUUUGCUAGAAACUUGUAUUUACAAGAAAGUGAGUGGGAGCACUACAAUAUUUCUGAUAAGUAUAUGUGGAUGACAUAUUGUUGAUCUGAAAUAAUGUAGAAUUUCUGGAAAGCAUAAACGGUUGUUUGAAGAGUGAUUUUCAAAGGAAUACCUGGAUAAAGCUGCUUACAUAUUGGGCAUCAAGAUCUAUGGAAAUAGAUCAAGACGCCUGAUGAUACUUUCAAAGAACGCACACCUUGACAUGUUUUUGAAAGAGUUCAAAAUAGAUCAGUCAAAGAAGGGGUUCUCACCUGAGUUGUAAGGUGUGAAGUUGAGUAAGACUCAAAGAUUGACCACGGCAGAAGAAAGAGGAAGGACGAAGGUCAUCCCCUAUGCUCUUGUCAUAGGCUCUAUACGGUAUGCCAUGCUGAGUACAACACCUGAUGUGUGCCUUGCCAUAUGUCUGGCAAGAGGGUACAAAGGUGAUCUAGGAGUAGAUCACCGGAUAGCGGUCAAAAAUUAUCCUUAGAAGAAUAAGGAAAUAUUUCUCGGUUAUGGAGGUGAUAAAGAGUUCGACGUAAAGAGUUACGUUGAUGCAAGCUUAACACCUAUCUGGAUAGCUCUGAGUAGAGAUAUCGGAUACGUAUAAUGGAGCAACAAUUUGGAAUAGCUCCAAGUGGAACGUGGUAGCAACAUCUACGAUAUGACAUAAAGUUUUGCGAAAUACAUAGGGAUCUGAAUAUGGCAAGACCCGUUGACUACAACCUCUCUCACAAGCAUAACAUGAUCAAACCCAGAACUCUUUGAGUGUUAAUCACAUAGUAAUGUGAACUAGAUCAUUGAGUCUAGUAGACUCUUUGGAUGUUGGCCACAUGGCCAUGUGACCUGUGAGUGUUAAUCACAUGGUGAUGUGAACUAGAUUAUUGACUCUAGUGCAAGUGGGAGACUGUUGGAAAUAUGCCCUGGAGGCAAUAAUAAAUUGGUUAUUAUUAUAUUUCCUUGUUCAUGAUAAUCGUUUAUUAUCCAUGCUAGAAUUGUAUUGAUAGGAAACUCAGAUACAUGUGUGGAUACAUAGACAACACCAUGUCCCUAGUAAGCCUCUAGUUGACUAGCUCGUUGAUCAAUAGAUGGUUAUGGUUUCCUGACCAUGGACAUUGGAUGUCGUUGAUAACGGGAUCACAUCAUUAGGAGAAUGAUGUGAUGGACAAGACCCAAUCCUAAGCCUAGCACAAAGAUCGUGUAGUUCAUAUGCUAAAGCUUUUCUAAUGUCAAGUACCAUUUCCUUAGACCAUGAGAUUGUGCAACUCCCAGAUACCGUAGGAGUGCUUUGGGUGUGCCAAACGUCACAACGUAACUGGGUGGCUAUAAAGGUACACUACAUGUAUCUCCAAAAGUGUCUGUUGGGUUGGCACGAAUCGAGACUGGGAUUUGUCACUCCGUAUAAAUGGAGAGGUAUCUCUGGGCCCACUCGGUAGGACAUCAUCAUAAUGUGCACAAUGUGAUCAAGGAGUUGAUCACGGGAUGAUGUGUUACGGAAUGAGUAAAGAGACUUGCCGGUAACGAGAUUGAACAAGGUAUCGGGAUACCGACGAUCGAAUCUCGGGCAAGUAUCGUACCGCUAGACAACGGGAAUUGUAUACGGGAUUGAUUAAGUCCUUGACAUCGUGGUUCAUCCGAUGAAAUCAUCGUGGAACAUGUGGGAUCCAACAUGGGUAUCCAGGAUCCCGCUGUUGGUUAUUGACCGGAGAGUUGUCUCGGCCAUGUCUGCAUGACUGACGAACCCGUAGGGUCUACACACUUAAGGUUCGAUGACGCUAGGCUUAUAGGGGAAGUAUGUACGCGGUUACCGAAUGUUGUUCGGAGUCCCGGAUGAGAUCUCGGACGUCAUGAGGAGUUCCGGAAUGGUCCGGAGGUAAAGAUUGAUAUAUAGGAAGUAUGGUUUUGGCCACCGGAAGUGUUCCGGGCAUCACCGGUAGUGUACCGGGACCACCGGAGGGGUCCGGGGGUCCACCAGGUGGGGCCACCAGCCCCGGAGGCUUACAUGGGCCAAUAGUGGGAAGGGACCAGCCCCUAGGUGGGCUGGGGCGCCUCCCACCAAGGCCCAAGGCGCCUCCAAGAGGGGAAGGGGGCAAACCCUAGGGCAGAUGGGCCCUAAGGCCCACCUCAGGUGCGCCUCCCCCUCUUCCCUUGUGGCCGCCACCCCAGAUGGGAUCUGGGGGCUGCCGCCACCCCUAGGGAGGGAACCCUAGGUGGGGGUGCAGCCCUCCCUUCCCCCCUAUAUAUAGUGGAGGCUAAGAGGCAGCCCAACAGACGAACUCUUCCCCUGUUGGCGCAGCCCUACCCCUCUCCCUCCUCGUCUCUCGUAGUGCUUGGCGAAGCCCUACAGGAUUCCCGCGCUCCUCCACCACCACCACGCCGUCGUGCUGCUGCUGGAUGGAGUCUUCCCCAACCUCUCCUUCUCCCCUUGCUGGAUCAAGGCAUAGGAGACGUCACCGGGCUGUACGUGUGUUGAACACGGAGGUGCCGUCCAUUUGGCACUAGGAUCAUCGGUGAUUUGGAUCACGACGAGUAUGACUUCAUCAACCCCGUUCACUUGAACGCUUCCGCUUAGCGAUCUACAAGGGUAUGUAGAUGCACUCUCCUUCCGCUCGUUGCUAGAUUACUCCAUUGAUUGAUCUUGGUGAUGCGUAGAAAAUUUUAAAUUUAUGCUACGAUCCCCAACACUCCCCUCGUCGCCCUGUGAGAGAGCGAUCAUCGGUUGUAUCUGGCACUUGGAAGGGUGUGUUUUAUUAAGUAUCCGGUUCUAGUUGUCAUAAGGUCAAGGUACAACUCCAAGUCGUCCUGUUACCUAAGAUCACGGCUAUUCGAAUAGAUUAACUUCCCUGUAGGGGUGCACCACAUAACCCAACACGCUCGAUCCCAUUUGGCCGGACACACUUUCCUGGGUCAUGCCCGGCCUCGGAAGAUCAACACGUUGCAGCCCUACCAAGGCACAACAGAGAGGUCAGCACGCCAAUCUAAAUCCUAUGACACAGGGGUCUGGUCCCAUCGCCCAUUGCACACCUGCACGUUGCGAGGGCGGCCGGAAGCAGUCCUAGCCUAGCAGGCGUUCCAGUCCAAUCCGGCGCGCACCGCUCAGUCGCUGACAUCACGCAGGCUUCGGCUGAUACCACGACGUCGAGUGACCAUAACUGUCCCCGCGUAGAUGAUUAGUGCGUAUAGGUCAGUAGCCAGACUCGGAUCAAAUACCAAGAUCUUGUUAAGCGUGUUAUUUUGAAAUAACCACAGACGCCGACUAGGGCCAGGCCCACUUCUCUCCUGGGUGGUCUCAACCUGCCCUGUCGCUCCGCCACAAAGUAACAGUCGGGGACCUUCGGGAACUCACGCCCACCUCUACCGGGAUGGAGCCACCUGCCCCUUCAGCCCCCAACAUCGGAAUCACUCGCGGGUACUCCUACGAGUCGAUUCGUCUUUAGUCACCACAUGUAUCAUAUAUUAUGUAUAUAAGUAUAUACCCGUGACCACCUCCCGAGUGAUCACGGCCCGAUAGUAUAGCAUGGCAGACGGACAAGAAUGUAGGGCCACUGAUGGCAUACUAGCAUCCUAUACUAAGCAUUGGGAUUGCAGGUAAGGUAUCAACAGUUGUAGCAACAAUGACAGGCUAUGCACCAGAAUAGGAUUAACGGAAGCAGUAACAUGCUACACUACUCUAAUGCAAGCAGUAUAGAGAAGAGUAGGCGAUAUCUGGUGAUCAAGGGGGGGCUUGCCUGGUUGCUCUGGCAAGAGAGAGGGGUCGUCGUCGAUGUAGUCGAUCAAUGGGGUAUCCGCAGCGGUCUCGAGGUCUACCGGAAAGAAGUAACGGAGGGGGAACACAAUAAAUAACAGAGCAAUCAAAGCAUCAUAAGCAUAACAUGGCAAUACGCGGUGUUAGGGGUGACCUAACGCAGUACUAGGUGCUACUGGCGAAGGGGGAAAACAUCCGGGAAAGUAUUCCCGGUGUUUCGCUUUUUUGGGCAGAUGAACCGGAGGUGGAUUGUUACAUGGUCGAUAUGCUAGGGACGUGUGGCGGACGAACGGACUGCGUAUUCGGAUUCGUCUCGCUUUUCUGAGCAACUUUUAUGUAUAAAACUUUUUCAUCCGAGCUACGGAUUAUUUUAUAUGAUUUUCCAAAGAUUUAAAGAAUUUCUAAAAUUAUGGAUUUAUUUUAAUCCGAAAAUAAACAGUAAACAGAAAAGCUGGGUGCACCCGGUGUAGUGCACCCAACAGUGCACUCAGGCUGACAGUGGGCCCCGGGGCUACCGAGUUAGCCGCGAGCGGUUAACUAUUCAGAUGAUGAACAGUGCUGGAGGGGUCCGCAUGUCAUCACCAUUGGGGUUAGUUUAAAUUAAACAGUGUUUAAUUUAUGGGGGUUUCUACACAUCAGCGGCCAAUUAGCCUUAGUAUUAGUACCAAAAACUAAACUAAACAGGGGACAGAAGAGACGUGAAGCUUUUGUGGCCUGUAGAGUACACAUUAUUGCAUAUGGUUAUGGGCAUUUUUAUUUGUUUCUUUUUUACAACUAUUUUUGUGGGCUUUUAGUUGGGCAUUAAUGUGAUAAAAAUUUAAGGGACUAUGAAGCGGCUGGUGCAUUUCAAGUUCGAUGGGUUCAGCGUUCAGGCGUGACUUUCUACUGGGUUCAGAACACACUCGUACCCAUAUACACGUACAUGUAGAAAAAGAAGAUUGUUGGGUUCAGAUAUGGCUGUACGCUAGCUCCGCCGGCCAUGGAGCAGCAGCAGCAUAAAUACGCAGCGGCAAUAGAGGGAGCAUCAACAGGCCGCGAGAAGAAGCAGUGCAGCAACAGCGGAGAGCAGUAGUGGACAACGAGCAGCAGCAGUAGCGCAGCAACAACAGCGCAGCCGGGCGCGGUGGCUAGCGGGCGGGCGGCUGCGCGCGCCGGCAGAGGUGGGGACGGCGAGAGAGGCUGUAGUGGGGCAGCAGGGGUGGGCGCAAACGUGCAAGGGCGACGGGAGGAGGGGCGCCCAGGGCGAGCUAGUGACGAUCAGAGGGCACCGGGAGCUCAGCCAUGGCGUGCGUGGAGCGAAGCUCCGACCACGACGGCUAAGCUCGGGGGAGGGCACCUACGGCGAUGGAAUCGAUGGGGAAGAAGGGGGAAUCGAAGGAGGGUGUCGGUGUCAAAACCAGCGGAUCUCGGGUAGGGUGUCCCGAACUGUGCGUAUAAGGCGGAUGGUAACAGGAGGCAGGGGACACGAUGUUUUACCCAGGUUCGGGCUCCCUCUUGAUAGAGGUAAAACCCUAUGUCCUGCUUGAUUAAUAUUGAUGAUAUGGAUAGUACAAGAGUAGAUCUACCACGAGAUCAGAGAGGCUAAACCCUUGAAGCUAGCCUAUGGUAUGAUUGUAUGUUAUCGUGUCCUAUGGACUAAAACCCUCCGGUUUAUAUAGACACCGGAGGGGGCUAGGGUUACACAAGAUCGGUUACAAAGGAGGAGAUAUCCAUAUCCGUACUGCCUAGCUUGCCUUCCACGCCAAGUAGAGUCCCAUCCGGACACGAGACGAAGUCUUCAAUCUUGUAUCUUCAUAGUCCAACAGUCUGGCCAAAGGAUAUAAUCCGGCUGUCUGGAGACUCCUAAUCCCGGACUCCCUCAGUAGCCCCUGAACCAGGCUUCAAUGACGAUGAGUCCGGGGCGCAGUGUUGUCUUCGGCAUUGCAAGGCGGGUUCCUCCUCUGAACAUAUCACAGAAGAGUUUGAAUACCAGGAUAGUGUCCGACCCUGCAAAAUAAAUUCCACAUACCACCGUAGAAAGAACAAUAUUUCCAUAAAUCUUAAUCUGCUGACACGCUUUGGCAACAUGACGUCAGGCCAUGGCUCGGUGAUUAUUCGAACCGUUUUUCUUCAACCAGCUCCACACAUAAAGCGAGGCGGUUUCUUGACACGUCUUGUCAAAGCAGAGAUCGUGUUCCCCUAAUUACGGGAUUCUCAUCAAUACGGUCGUGGGUAACCCAACCGUGCCUAGGACUCCUAGAUUUUAGGCAAGUCCCAAACGGCCACUAGGAGGACGCUUGAUAUUCACCCUCUUUAUAAAGGGACAAGGCUUUUACUUUUUUCCCUCCCGUGCUCAAUGAAUCCUUCCCCCGCCUCGAGUUCUAACACCCAAAGCCCAGGUCAGGUGCUUUGGACCUUCAAUCAUGUUCGGAUCUAGCCUUCAAGGCCGGUGGAUGCCCUCCUCCAUUACGGAAGAGGAUAUCAAGAAGUUGAGGGAGGCCAGAUACCUGACCGCCGAGGUUUCGCAUCGGCUGCCUGCCCGAGGGUAGGUCGUCCCUACUGCCGAACACAACGAGAACAUUGUGUUCAUCUCCCACUUCCUCCGAGGCCUAGGCCUCACCCUGGAUCCCUUUGUUAGGGGUUUGAUGUUCUAUUACGGGCUAGAUUUCCACGAUCUAGCCCCGGACUCCUUUCUCCACGUCUCGACAUUUAUUGUCGUAUGUGAGGCCUUCCUCCGCAUUACCCCUCACUUCGGCCUGUGGCUCAAGACCUUUGACAUGAAGCCGAAGAUGGUCGAGGGGCAGCACGUAGCGUGCAGAGGCGCAUUAAUAAGUAAAAUCGCUGGAGCUCCAUGGCCAAAGGGUUCCUUUCCAGAGGUGUCCGGAUUAUGGCAGCGAGAGUGGUUCUACAUCACAGCUCCCAGAAGUGCCAAGUGGGUGGCCGCCCCUGCUUUUUGCUCGGGCCCUCCACCACAACUGAUCUCAUGGAUUAGCAGAGGGCUGAGAUGGGGUCCAGCCAAGGACGUGCCUAUACUGCAAAGCCGCGUUCAAGAUCUCUUCGACAGAGAUUUCAGUCUGGUUAUGGUGGUGCAAGUCAUGCUGGUUCGUCGAGUCCAGCCUUGCAAACGCCGGCCCCUCCGCGUGUGGGAGUUCAACCCAAAAGGGCCGCGCACUAUUCAGAAUUUCCUCGGCCUGACGCACGAGGAGAUGUACAAAUCAUUCUUCGGACCCCAAAUAGAGUGUACGGAUACUACCGAGGAUGUGGGCCUGAGCAGCAACCGUACCGCUGACCAAGGAAGUAAUCCUCUAGCCGAACACACCGUCCUUCAUUUACCAUGACGUCAUUCUGAAAAAUCGCACUUUGACCAGGACUGGCUAACAAAGGCGAAGAUGACUCGGUGUUCAGCCCACCUUCCUGAGGGUUUGGAGAAUCCGGUACUGGAAAAGAUGCUCGAGCUAGCACCUUGCCCGGAGGCCUCAAAGGAAGAUGAAGGGGGGAAUAAUGAGGUCGAAAGCGGGCCCCCAUCGCUACCAAUUCCAACCGAGGGAAGGAGCGCCUCCGUGAAGGAGGAUAACCAAGGGGAAGAAUCUGACCUUCUCUUGCUCCGGGGAAGGAAGAGGACCACCUCUGAAGAUCCGGAAACCAAGGCUUCCAAGCGGGAGAAGAAGUCUCCACCAGAGGGUCCUGCCUCGGAGGGUGCUUUUGCCGCACAAAGUCCGCGCGGGGAUCAGCCCUUUAACGAGCCGUAAGUGAUCAAAAAAUACUUAAUAGUAAAGAUAUUCUACCUUACUUCCGAGGAAAAUAACCGAAGUGUUUAUCUCGCAGUUCGGAUCUUAGCCCUUCUGAAACGCCUCCCCCGGACUCCCCCGCUCAAGAAGCAGGCGACCUUGAAGUGUCGUCAUGGAGGGCCUCUCCGGAUCCGGUGAGGCCAGAAGAUAAUCCUAUAGUCACCCGAAGUCCCCAGCAUCCUGCUCUUGAAGAGAGCAAACAAAAGAGUCCGACGCAGUCUGGUAUGCGGUCAGACGCACUGAGGGAUCUGCUAAGGCGGGCGACCAUCUCGGAAGAAUACCGUACAUUGAUGGGUACGGUGAUGGAAAGGAUUUUAUCCGCCAAAAGUGGGUUGCAUGACGCCUUUAUGAGUCUACUAACGGGCUUUGAGGUAAGUAAAAUGAUGUACAUUUGUGAUGGUACCGCACAUUUUUAGGUGUGCCCUGUGUAGAUAGUAGCCCCUAAGACUCUGGUUGUCGCGGAAAACGGCGGCAAACAGAGGAUUGUAGUCCCAGGUAAUAACCAUACAGCUUUAUGUGCAUGCGAUGGAAGCUCUGGUGACUGGCCGACCUAAUGAGUUUGCCGAACUAAAGCGGCAACUGGAUGCGGCAGAUGCCAACAUCGAGCUUGUUAACAAGCGGCUUGACGAGGCACAGGGUAAGUAAUGUUUUUCCGGUCAAUGUCACAUAGUAAGAGCAGCAUGAUGCCAGUGUCUUUAAUAUGUUGUGACUGCAGAUGGAGCUGCCGCCGUGAAGACCCUUCGGGCGGAACUUGCCCGAGCCAACGAACAAACAAGGAUUAGUAAUGCGGCCGCUUUAAACGCAGCCGAAGAGUUAAGAGCCGAGAAGGCUGCGCAUUGCGAGAGCAAAGAAAAGAUGGCCAAGAUGGCUGUAAAGUUAAAAGACACUGCCGACCGUUGUCGGUUCCUUGAAGAAGAAAACCGAGCGAAGGUGAUGGACCUCGAAAAGGCCACGAUGGCGGCUAAAGACACCCGCUCUGCCAUGAGGGCAAAGAAGGAAGAGCUGCGUGAAGCUGGUGAUAUUGUGGCUGGGAAGCCCUUUUUGCUGCGAAGGAAGUUCGGAGAUCUGCGGUAUGCCCCUCUAGAUCGGCUAUGGAGUUCGGAAGACACAUAUCUGGAUUUGACGACGAGUGCUGUCGAUGUGGCCGAAUACUUCCGAGAUCAAACAGAUCGUGAUGUGGACAAGCUAUUCUGGUCGCAAUUUAACGUUCCAGAGCGUCCUCUUCCACUAACUGAUCAACUUGCCGAAUGGGCCAAACUCAAUAGAUUGUCCGGACUCGCCAUGAGGUCCGUCGUAGAUCAUCUGUGGCCGGAAAAGCCGAAGUCGAACAGCUAUUUUAGCUUAGUGCAGCAGUUCCUUGGUGCGGUGCCGCGCAUCAAUGUGAUGAAGAGGUCGUUGUGCAUAGAAGGCUCGCAGAUGGCCCUUGCCCUUGUCAAAGCAUACUGGGCGGAGAUGGAUGCUACCACUGUUGCGGCGCAGGGUUGGGCCAUAGGCCGAGUGGCUGCCGAGCAGUAUUUUGAAGAAGUUCUUGAGGGUGCUCGUUUGAUAGAGGCCUAGUGCUCGAAGAAUAUUAUGUUUGAGUGACAUGUAUUCCCAUUGUAAAAACAAUGUUUACCAAAUUUAUUAAGGCUGUAUUUAUACUUUUGCCUGAAAGUAAUAUGAUGCCUCCCGUGCGGCUGUUUAUAUAUAUAUGUAUAUAACCUGAAAGAUUGCAGUCGUCGACUUCAUCCCCCACACAUAUAAUGCAGGGGUGUUCGCAGAAGACGCCUGUUCACACGUAAUCCAACGUCUUGGUCCUAAUAAGGAGGUGAUAGUGCAGCGAACGAGGCAACCGGACUAUAAUGCUUUAACACUUUCACUUAGCCAUAGGAGUUUGACGGUGGGGCUACUAUACAGCCCCUGGUGGCUCCGCACUCUCCCGAAUUCGGGGUGCGUACAUGCCUGGCCUAGAAACGACCCUUCAUUAAGGGGGAGGAAUUCUAACAUUCCGAUGGGUCAUCGAGUGGUUGACCAGUCUCACGCUAUAUCAUGACAGUCAGUUUUCGGCUUUCUCUACUGAGGUGCUCGUCCGGAUGACCCGGGGCACAAUCGCAGUAGUUCUCCUGGUGCCACCUUAGCCGAUAGAGCGGAACGUAAGGCAGUAAAACACAGGAGCCGGGCAAACCCAACAUUUGACCAAAGACAUGAUUCAGAGCUGAUGCAUAUAAGGCCAAACUCGCGACGCCGAACACUCCCUAAGGUAUUCGGUCUUUUAUGGUAUAAACCGGGCCUAAACAGUGCCCUUUGUAAGAAGCCCCUGGUGUCCAGGUACGUGCAUUAUUCUGACGUGGCCACAUGCCAAGACGUCAGCAUUCUUCUCAAUAGUACUGAGAAUCCGAGGGAUGUUAUCAACAAGAGACAGUAAGAAAGGUUUACGCAGGGUCUUAAUCUAAAAAGAAUCCUUGGAAUGGGUCCCUGCUGCACGUCUGUGCCUGUGUCUCCGUUGUGCCGUAUCCUGGACUGGUGUAGCACGAUGGUCAUCUAUAAAAGAGAGGAACUUAGGUGAAAAGUUAUCGUGCAAAAAGGUAGGUUAUAUUAAAGAAACCAUGUACAAUUCAAGAUGAGUAAAAAUUGCCACUUGUCUGCGCGCGUUGAGCCCUUUGUAUUUGCAAUAGGGGUGUGGCCAUCAAACCUGUAUGAAUUACAUAUAGCUACGUCGGACUCGUCUAACCGUGUCCAUAGUCUUGACGACCUAUCGAAUGCUUUAGCUGGUAAGGCCGUUUUAGUGUGCGGCUGCCAAGGCAGCCGCACUCUCUUCAGUGCGCAGGGAUCGCUCAAUAUUUCCAUUUACUGUAAUAAUGCCACGUGGACCGGGCAUCUUAAUCGUGAGGGAAGCGUAAUGCGGUAUUGCAUUAAAGCGAGGGAAAGCUUCGCGUCCAAGUAGUUCUUGAUAGCCACUUUGGAACGGAGCAAUGUGGAAGGUUAUAUUUUCACUACGGAAGUUAUCGGGAGAGCCGAAUAUAACCUCUAGUAGCAGGGAGCCCAUGCAAUGAGCCCCUGGGUCGGGCGUUACUCCUUUAAAGGUAGUAUUGCUAUGGCAAAUUUUCGUUGGGUCUAUCCCCAUUUUGCGGAUUGUAUCCUGAUAUAUCAGGUUUAGACUGCUGCCACCGUCCAUCAUGACUCGUGUGAAGUGGUAUCCGUCAAUUAUUGGAUCUAAUACCAAGGCAGCCCAUCCUGCACGCCGGAUACUUGUGGAGUAAUCUCGAUGAUCGAAGGUGAUCAGUUGAGACAACUAGUGGCAGGACUCCGCGGUGAUAGGCCCUUGGGCAUAUUUCUCUGGGAGUGCCACUUUGUUUCUCCCCUUGAUCACGUGUAACACGUGUACUAUUUUGACCUCUGGUGGAAAUUUCUUUUGUUCCCCAGUGUCUUGCUUGAGAGGCUCAUCCUCGUCUUCGCUUGGUGUAUCCUCCCCCUUGUGUACGGCGUUGAGCUUGCCGGACUGCUUGAAGACCCAACAUUCUCUGUGGGCAUGAUUUGCAGGUUUAUCGGGGCUGCUAUGGAUCUGACAUAUUUGGUCCGUAAUUUUGUUUAGGCUGGACAAUUCAUCUUUGGCACCUUUAGAGGGCGGCUUUUGCUAACCUGGACGAGAGCUUUUGAAUCCGGCGUUUACCGUCGUGCUCUUCGGGCUGUCUUCUUUAUUCCGGCGCUUAUUAUUUUUGCUGCGUCGUGAUUUCCCGUUUCCAUCUAUAACUUCAGAUGUACUUGGGUCACUGGUGCUGCAUCGGGCUAGCCAGCUGUCCUCACCCGCGCAAAAGCAGGUCAUGAGGCUUGUUAAUGCUGGCAUUGUUCUCGGCUUUUCUUGGCUGAGGUUUCUGGCCAGCCAUUCGUCUCAAACGCUCUGUUUAAAAGCUGCCAAGGCUUCGGCGUCCGGACAGUCGACUAUUUGGUUCUUUUUAGUAAGAAAUCUGUUCCAAAGCUUUCGGGCUGACUCUCCGGGCUGUUGAGUUAUAUGACUUAAAUCGUCCGCAUCCGGAGGUCGGACAUAAGUCCCUUGAAAAUUUGCCCAAAAAGCAUCUUCAAGCUCUUCCCAGCUUCCAAUGGAGCUUUUGGGGAGGAUUUUGAGCUAGUGUCGAGCUGGCCCUUUGAGCUUGAGGGGUAAGUACUUGAUGGCAUGGAGAUCAUCUCCUCGAGCCAUAUGGAUAUGGAGGAUAUAGUCCUCAAUCCAGACCCCAGGGUCUGUUGUUCCGUUGUAUGCCUCUAUGUUUACAGGUUUGAAUCCCUCUGGAAAUUCAUGGUCCAGCACCUCGUCGGUGAAACAUAGGGGGUGUGUGGCACCCUUGUAUCUGGGUGUACCAUGAUGUUCAGAUGUUUGUUGUGUUGCAUUGUAUGCUUGGUCCAUUGAUGGAUCUGGUUGCGCCGUCCUUUUGAUGUGAGCCCUCGCGUGGAUCGCGUAUUGGCUUAUGUGCGGCAUUGUUUGCCGCUCUAUGUUGGCCGUGCUGUCGUCUAUCCGGCCAGAUGGCCGUUUUAAUUUUUGGUUGCGGGGGAUCUAAGGCCUCCUCAUUGAAUUCAGGUAGCAACUUCUGAAGGAAAUAUGCCCUAGAGGCAAUAAUAAAGUUAUUAUUUAUUUCCUUAUAUCAUGAUAAAUGUUUAUUAUUCAUGCAAGAAUUGUAUUAACCGGAAACAUAAUACAUGUGUGAAUACAUAGACAAACAGAGUGUCACUAGUAUGCCUCUACUUGACUAGCUCGUUAAUCAAAGAUGGUUAUGUUUCCUGACCAUGAACAAUGAGUUGUUAUUUGAUUAACGAGGUCACAUCAUUAGUUGAAUGAUCUGAUUGACAUGACCCAUUUCAUUAGCUUAGCACCUGAUCGUUUAGUAUGUUGCUAUUGCUUUCUUCAUGACUUAUACAUGUUCCUAUAACUAUGAGAUUAUGCAACUCCCGUUUACCGGAGGAACACUUUGGGUACUACCAAACGUCACAACGUAACUGGGUGAUUAUAAAGGAGUACUACAGGUGUCUCCAAUGGUCGAUGUUGGGUUGGCAUAUUUCGAGAUUAGGAUUUGUCACUCCGAUUGUCGGAGAGGUAUCUCUGGGCCCUCUCGGUAAUACACAUCACAUAAGCCUUGCAAGCAUUACAACUAAUAUGUUAGCUGUGAGAUGAUGUAUUACGGAACGAGUAAAGAGACUUGCCGGUAACGAGAUUGAACUAGGUAUUGGAUACCGACGAUCGAAUCUCGGACAAGUAACAUACCGAUGACAAAGGGAACAACGUAUGUUGUUAUGCGGUCUGACCGCUAAAGAUCUUCGUAGAAUAUGUAGGAGCCAAUAUGGGCAUCCAGGUCCCGCUAUUGGUUAUUGACCAGAGACGUGUCUCGGUCAUGUCUACAUUGUUCUCGAACCCGUAGGGUCCGCACGCUUAAGGUUACGAUGACAGUUAUAUUAUGAGUUUAUGCAUUUUGAUGUACCGAAGGUUGUUCGGAGUCCCGGAUGUGAUCACGGACAUGACGAGGAGUCUCGAAAUGGUCGAGACAUAAAGAUUGAUAUAUUGGAAGCCUAUGUUUGGACAUCGGAAGUGUUCCGGGUGAAAUCGGGAUUUUACCGGGUUACCGGGAGGUUACCGGAACCCCCCGGGAGCCAUAUGGGCCAUCAUGGGCCUUAGUGGAAAGGAGAAAGGGGCAGCCCAAGGGGGCUGCGCGCCUCCCCCCUUCCCCUAGUCCUAUUAGGACUAGGAGAGGUGGCCGGCCACCCCUCUCCCUCUUUCCCCCUUGGGAAUCCUAGUUGGAAUAGGAUUGGGGGGGGGGGGAGUCCUACUCCCGGUAGGAGUAGGACUCCUCCUGCGCCUCUCCCUCUUGGCCGGCGCACCCUCCCCCCUUGGCUCCUUUAUAUACGGAGGCAGGGGCACCUCUAAACACACAAGUUGACACAAGUUGAUCCACGUGAUCGAUUCCUUAGCCGUGUGCGGUGCCCCCUGCCACCAUAUUCCUCGAUAAUACCGUAGCGGAGUUUAGGCGAAGCCCUGCUGCUGUAGUUCAUCAAGAUCGUCACCACGCCGUCGUGCUGACGGAACUCUUCCCCGACACUUUGCUGGAUCGGAGUCCGGGGAUCGUCAUCGAGCUGAACGUGUGCUCGAACUCGGAGGUGCCGUAGUUUCGGUGCUUGAUCGGUUGGAUCGUGAAGACGUACGACUACUUCCUCUACGUCGUGUCAUCGCUUCCGCAGUCGGUCUGCAUUGGGUACGUAGACAACACUCUCCCCUCGUUGCUAUGCAUCACAUGAUCUUGCGUGUGCGUAGGAAAUUUUUUGAAAUUACUACGAAACCCAACAGUGGCAUCCGAGCCAGGUUUUAUAUGUUGAUGUUAUAUGCACGAGUAGAACACAAGUAAGUUGUGGACGAUACAAGUCAUACUGCCUACCAGCAUGUCAUACUUUGGUUCGGCGGUAUUGUUGGACGAGACGACCCGGACCAACCUUACGCGUACGCUUACGCGAGACCGGUUCCCUCGACGUGCUUUGCACAGAGAUGGCUUGCGGGCGACUGUCUCUCCAACUUUAGUUGAACCAAGUAUGGCUACGCCCGGUCCUUGCGAAGGUUAAAACGGAGUCUAUUUGACAAACUAUCGUUGUGGUUUUGAUGCGUAGGUGAGAUUGGUUCUUACUUAAGCCCGUAGCAGCCACGUAAAACAUGCAACAACAAAGUAGAGGACGUCUAACUUGUUUUUGCAGGGCAUGUUGUGAUGUGAUAUGGUCAAGGCAUGAUGCUGAAUUUUAUUGUAUGAGAUGAUCAUGUUUUGUAACCAAGUUAUCGGCAACUGGCAGGAGCCAUAUGGUUGUCGCUUUAUUGUAUGCAAUGCAAUCGCGAUGUAAUGCUUUACUUUAUUACUAAAAGGUAGUGAUAGUCGUGGAAGCAUAAGAUUGGCGAGACGACAACGAUGCUACGAUGGAGAUCAAGGUGUCGCGCCGGUGACGAUGGUGAUCAUGACGGUGCUUCGGAGAUGGAGAUCACAAGCACAAGAUGAUGAUGGCCAUAUCAUGUCACAUAUUCUGAUUGCAUAUGAUGUUUAUCUUUUAUACAUCUUAUUUUGCUUAGUUUGACGGUAGCAUUUUAAGAUGAUCUCUCACUAAAUUAUCAAGAAGUGUUCUCCCUGAGUAUGCACCGUUGCGAAAGUUCUUCGUGCUGAGACACCACGUGAUGAUCGGGUGUGAUAGGCUCUACGUUCAAAUACAACGGGUGCAAAACAGUUGCACAUGCGGAAUACUCAGGUUAUACUUGACGAGCCUAGCAUAUACAGAUAUGGCCUCGGAACACGGAGACCGAAAGGUCGAGCGUGAAUCAUAUAGUAGAUAUGAUCAACAUAGUGAUGUUCACCAUUGAAACUACUCCAUCUCACGUGAUGAUCGGACAUGGUUUAGUUGAUUUGGAUCACGUGAUCACUUAGAGGAUUAGAGGGAUGUCUGUCUAAGUGGGAGUUCUUAAGUAAUAUGAUUAAAUUGAACUUAAAUUUAUCAUGAACUUAGUCCUGGUAGUCUUUUGCAAAUCAUGUUGUAGAUCAAUAGCUCGCGUUGUUGCUUCCCUGUGUUUAUUUUGAUAUGUUCCUAGAGAAAAUUAUGUUGAAAGAUGUUAGUAGCAAUGAUGCGGAUUGGAUCCGUGAUCUGAGGUUUAUCCUCAUUGCUGCACAGAAGAAUUAUGUCCUUGAUGCACCGCUAGGUGACGGACCUAUUGCAGGAGCAGAUGCAGACGUUAUGAACGUUUGGCUAGCUCAAUAUGAUGACUACUUGAUAGUUUAAGUGCACCAUGCUUAACGGCUUAGAAUCGGGACUUCAAAGAUGUUUUGAACAUCAUGGACCAUAUGAGAUGUUCCAGUAAUUGAAGUUAAUAUUUCAAGCAAAUACCCGAGUUGAGAGAUGUGAAGUCUCCAACAAGUUCUAUAGCUAAAAGAUGGAGGAGAAUCGCUCAACUAGUGAGCAUGUGCUCAGAUUGUCUGGGUACUUCAAUUGCUUGAAUCAAGUGGGAGUUAAUCUUCCAGAUAAGAUAGUGAUUGACAGAAUUCUCUAGUCACCAUCACUAAGUUACUGAACUUCAUGAUGAACUAUAGUAUGCAAGGGAUGACGAAAACGAUUCCCGAGCUCUUCGUGAUAUUGAAAUCGACGAAGGUAGAAAUCAAGAAAGAGCAUCAAGUGUUGAUGAUUGCCAAGACCACUAGUUUCAAGAAAAGGGCAAAGGGAAGAAGGGGAACUUCAAGAAGAACAGCAAGCAAGUUGCUGCUCAAGUGAAGAAGCCCAAGUCUGGUCCUAAGCCUGAGACUAAGUGCUUCUACUGCAAAGGGACUGGUCACUGGAAGCGGAUCUACCCCAAGUGAUUGGCAGAUAAGAAGGAUGGCAAAGUGAACAUAAGUAUAUUUGAUAUACAUGUUAUUGAUGUGUACUUUACUAGUGUUUAUAGCAAACCCUAAGUAUUUGAUACUAGUUCAGUUGCUAAGAUUAGUAACUCGAAACGGGAGUUGCAGAAUAAACAGAGACUAGUUGAGGGUGAAGUGACGAUGUGUGUUGGAAGUGGUUCCAAGAUUGAUAUGAUCAUCGUCGCACACUCCCUAUACUUUCGGGAUUAGUGUUGAACCUGAAUAAAUGUUAUUUGGUGUUGGCGUUGAGCAUGAAUAUGAUUUGAUCAUGUUUAUUGUAAUACGGUUAUUCAUUUAAGUAAGAGAAUAAAUUGUUGUUCUGUUUACAUGAAUGAAACCUUAUAUGGUUACACACCCAAUGAAAAUAGUUCGUUGGAUCUCGAUCAUAGUGAUACACAUAAUCAUAAUAUUGAAACCAAAAGAUGCAAAGUUAAUAAUGAUAAGUGCAACUUGUUUGUAGCACUGCCGUUUAGGUCAUAUUUUUGUAAAGCGCAUGAAGAAACUCCAUACUGAUGGGCUUUUGGAAUCACUUGAUUAUGAAUCAGUUGAUGCUUGCGAACCAUGCCUCAUGGGCAAGAUGACUAAAAACUCUGUUCUUCGGAACAAUGGAGUGAGCAAUAGAUUUGUUAAAAAUCAUACAUACUGAUGUAUGUAGUCCGAUGAAUAUUGAGGCUCGCGACAGGUAUCAUUAUUUUCUGAUCUUCACAGAUGAUUUGAGCAGAUAUGAGUAUAUCUACUUGAUGAAACAUAAGUCUGAAACAUUUGAAAAGUUCAAAGAAUUUCAGAGUGAAGUGAAAAAUCAUCGUAACAAGAAAAUAAAGUUUCUACGAUCUGAUCGUAGAGAUGAGUAUUUGAGUUACGAGUUUGGCCUUCAGUUAAAAACAAUGUGAAAUAGUUUCACUACUCAUGCCACCUAGAACACCACAAUAUAAUGGUGUGUCCGAACGUCAUAACCGUACUUUAUUAGAUAUGGUGCGAUCUAUGAUGUGUCUUACCGAUCUACCACUAUCGUUUUAGGGUUAUGCAUUAGAGACAGCUGCAUUCACGUUAAAUAGGGCACCAUCUAAAUCCGUUGAGACGACACCGUGUGAACUAUGGUUUGGCAAGAAACCUAAGCUGUCGUUUCUUAAAUUUGGGGUUGCGAUGCUUAUAUGAAAAAGUUUCAUCCUGAUAAGCUCAAACUCAAAUCGGAGAAGUGCGUCUUCAUAGGAUACCCAAAGGAGACAAUUGGGUACACCUUCUAUCAUAGAUCCGAAGGCAAGACAUUCGUUGCUAAGAAUGGAUCAUUUCUGGAGAAGGAGUUUCUCUCGAAAGAAGUGAGUGGGAGGAAAGUAGAACUUGACGAGGUAACUGUACCUGCUCCCCUACUGGAGAGUAGUUCAUCACAGAAAACUGUUUCAGUGACACCUACACCGGUUAGUGAGGAAGUUAAUGAUGAUGAUCAUCAAACUUCAGAUCAAGUUACUACCAAACCUCGUAGGUCUUCCAGAGUAAGAUCCGCACCAGAGUGGUACGGUAAUCAUGUUCUGGAAGUCAUGUUACUAGACCAUGAUGAACCUACGAGCUAUGAGGAAGCAAUGAUGAGCCCAGAUUCCACGAAAUGGCUUGAGGCCAUGAAAUCUGAGAUAUGAUCCAUGUAUGAGAACAAAGUGUAGACUUUGAUUGACUUGCCCGAUGAUCGGUGAGUCAUUAAGAAUAAAUGGAUCUUCAAGAGGAAGACGGACGUUGAUAGUAGUGUUACUAUCUACAAAGCUAGACUUGUCGAAAAAGGUUUUUGACAAAGUUCAAGGUGUUGAAUACGAUGAGAUUUUCUUACUCGUAUCGAUGCUUAAAAGUCUGUCCGAAUCAUGUUAGCAAUUGCCGCAUUUUAUGAUUAUGAAAUUUGGCAGAUGGAUGUCAAAACUGCAUUCCUGAAUGGAUUUCUGGAAGAAGAGUUGUAUAUGAUGCAACCGGAAGGUUUUGUCGAUCCAAAGGGAGCUAACAAAGUGUGCAAGCUCCAGCGAUCCAUUUAUGGACUGGUGCAAGAAUCUCGGAGUUGGAAUAUACGCUUUGAUAAGUUGAUCAAAGUAUAUAGUUAUUGUACAGACUUACAGUGAAGCCUGUAUUUACAAGAAAGUGAGUGGGAGCACUACAACAUUUCUGAUAAGUAUAUGUGAAUGACAUAUUGUUGAUCGGAAAUAAUGUAGAAUUAUUCUGCAAAGCAUGAAAGGAUACUUGAAUAAAAGUUUUUCAAAGAAAGACCUUGGUGAAGCUGCUUACACAUUGAGCAUCAAGAUCUAUAUAGAUAGAUGAAGACGCUUGAUAAGAUUUUUUCAAUAAAUACAUACCUUGAUAAAUUUUUGAAAUAGUUCAAAAUGGAACAGUCAAAGAAGGAGUUCUUGCCUGUGUUGCAAGGUGUUAAGUUGAGUAAGACUCAAAGCCCGACCACGGCAGAAAAUAGAAAGAGAAUGAAAGUCAUUCCCUAUGCCUCAGUCAUAGGUUCUAUAAAGUAUGCCAUGCUGUAUACCAGAUCUAUUGUAUGUCAUACCACUGAGUUUGGCAAGGGAGUACAAUAGUGAUCUAGGAGUAGAUCACUGGAGAGCGGUCAAAAUUGUCCUUAGUGGAAUAAGGAUAUGUUUCUCGAUUAUGGAAAAAGGUUCGUCGUAAAAGGUUACGCCGAUGCAAGUUUGACACUAAUCUAGAUGACUCUAAGUCUUGAUCUAGAUACAUAUUGAAAGUGGGAGCAAUUAGCUAGAGUAGCUCCGUGCAGAGCAUUGUAGACAUAGAAUUCGCAAAAUACUUACGGAUCUGUAUAUGACAUACCCGUUGACUAAGAUUCUCUCACAAGCAAAACAUGAUCACACCUUAGUACUCCUUGGGUGUUAAUCACAUAGCGAUGUGAACUAGAUUACUGAAUCUAGUAAACCCUUUGGGUGUUGGUCACAUAGAGAUGUGAACUAUGGGUGUUAAUCACAUGGUGAUGUGAACUAUUGCUGUUAAAUCACAUGGCGAUGUGAACUAGAUUAUUGACUCUAGUGCAAGUGGGAGACUGAAGGAAAUAUGCCCUAGAGGCAAUAAUAAAGUUAUUAUUUAUUUCCUUAUAUCAUGAUAAAUGUUUAUUAUUCAUGCUAGAAUUGUAUUAACCGGAAACAUAAUACAUGUGUGAAUACAUAGACAAACAGAGUGUCACUAGUAUGCCUCUACUUGACUAGCUCGUUAAUCAAAGAUGGUUAUGUUUCCUGACCAUGAACAAUGAGUUGUUAUUUGAUUAACGAGGUCACAUCAUUAGUUGAAUGAUCUGAUUGACAUGACCCAUUUCAUUAGCUUAGCACCUGAUCGUUUAGUAUGUUGCUAUUGCUUUCUUCAUGACUUAUACAUGUUCCUAUAACUAUGAGAUUAUGCAACUCCCGUUUACCGGAGGAACACUUUGGGUACUACCAAACGUCACAACGUAACUGGGUGAUUAUAAAGGAGUACUACAGGUGUCUCCAAUGGUCGAUGUUGGGUUGGCGUAUUUCGAGAUUAGGAUUUGUCACUCCGAUUGUCGGAGAGGUAUCUCUGGGCCCUCUCGGUAAUACACAUCACAUAAGCCUUGCAAGCAUUACAACUAAUAUGUUAGUUGUGAGAUGAUGUAUUAUGGAACGAGUAAAGAGACUUGCCGGUAACGAGAUUGAACUAGGUAUUGGAUACCGACGAUCGAAUCUCGGACAAGUAACAUACCGAUGACAAAGGGAACAAUGUAUGUUGUUAUGCGGUCUGACCGAUAAAGAUCUUCGUAGAAUAUGUAGGAGCCAAUAUGGGCAUCCAGGUCCCGCUAUUGGUUAUUGACCAGAGACGUGUCUCGGUCAUGUCUACAUUGUUCUCGAACCCGUAGGGUCCGCACGCUUAAGGUUACGAUGACAGUUAUAUUAUGAGUUUAUGCAUUUUGAUGUACCGAAGGUUGUUCGGAGUCCCGGAUGUGAUCACGGACAUGACGAGGUGUCUCGAAAUGGUCGAGACAUAAAGAUUGAUAUAUUGGAAGCCUAUGUUUGGACAUCGGAAGUGUUCCGGGUGAAAUCGGGAUUUUACCGGGUUACCGGGAGGUUAUCGGAACCCCCCGGGAGCCAUAUGGGCCAUCAUGGGCCUUAGUGGAAAGGAGAAAGGGGCAGCCCAAGGGGGCUGCGCGCCUCCCCCCUUCCCCUAGUCCUAUUAGGACUAGGAGAGGUGGCCGGCCACCCCUCUCCCUCUUUCCCCCUUGGGAAUCCUAGUUGGAAUAGGAUUGGGGGGGGGAGUCCUACUCCCGGUAGGAGUAGGACUCCUCCUGCGCCUCUCCCUCUUGGCCGGCGCACCCUCCCCCCUUGGCUCCUUUAUAUACGGAGGCAGGGGCACCUCUAAACACACAAGUUGACACAAGUUGAUCCACGUGAUCGAUUCCUUAGCCGUGUGCGGUGCCCCCUGCCACCAUAUUCCUCGAUAAUACCGUAGCGGAGUUUAGGCGAAGCCCUGCUGCUGUAGUUCAUCAAGAUCGUCACCACGCCGUCGUGCUGACGGAACUCUUCCCCGACACUUUGCUGGAUCGGAGUCCGGGGAUCGUCAUCGAGCUGAACGUGUGCUCGAACUCGGAGGUGCCGUAGUUUCGGUGCUUGAUCGGUUGGAUCGUGAAGACGUACGACUACUUCCUCUACGUCGUGUCAUCGCUUCCGCAGUCGGUCUGCGUUGGGUACGUAGACAACACUCUCCCCUCGUUGCUAUGCAUCACAUGAUCUUGCGUGUGCGUAGGAAAUUUUUUGAAAUUACUACGAAACCCAACAACUUCUGCUUCGGGUAGCUCUUGGUGGGGCGAUUACCGCCGUACUUCGCUGCUGUGUUGAGUACUUUACUCCAUCUGAUUCUGAGUGUGUCUUGCGCAGACUUGAGCCUUUUCUUCUGCUUUUUUAGACUCCUCAUGGUGGCAACAAGCCUUUGACGGGCAUUCUGUUGCUCCGGGUGUCCGUCCAGUGUGAUGUCAUCUGGACUAUUAUCUUUGAUAGAGUCGGGUUGUUCGGUUUGAUUCUCCGUGUUGCCAUGGUCCGGCGAUUGUUCACCCUGCUCUAAGGCUGGGUCUAUAUGAUCGUUGUUUCUGCCGAGGCGGGAUUUGGAGCGGCGCUUACGCCGCCGCUUUGACUGCUUAUCGAGGGGACAACCCUCUGUUGCGUCCUUCCAUUCCUCGUCGUCGUCUUCUUUUGGUGUGUCCACCAUGUAUACGUCAUGUGAUAAAGUGGGCGUCCAGUGCCCUGUGGGCAGUGGUUCCUGUUCGCCUCCUGCAUCGUCGUCCAUACCGUCGAUGUCUUCGGAGUCGAAGUCGAGCAUGUCGGUUAAGUCAUCGACAGUAGCUACUGAGUGGGUGGUGGGUGGGCAGCGAAUUUCUUCAUCAUCCGCAUCCCAAUCCUGUCGGACAUAGUUCGGCCAGGACUCUCCUGACAAGGAGAGAGACUUUAAUGAAUUCAGUACGUCGCCGAAGGGCGAGUGCUGAAAGAUAUUCGCGGAGGUGAACUCCAUGAUUGGCGCCCAGUCCGAUUUGAUAGGCACGGGUGCAGGAGGUUCGGAGUCCGUGGCCGGGGAAGGAUCCAGCAGUUUGGCAACACUGCUCUCGUGAAGGAUAAGGUCGAUAUUCGGCUCGAUCGCCGCUGAGGGUAAGGCCUCCAUGGCGGGGUCCAUCCACCCGUCCAUGGACGGCGCAACUGGCUCCGAAUUGAGGGUCGGAGCGGCUGCCGGUGCGAUCUUCUAAACACUGUCUAAUGGUAGAGCUAAAUCGUACUCAUCGUGACCGCGCGAUGCACAAGGCAGAGGCUCGAAUCCGUCGAAGAUCAAGUCUCCGCGGAUAUCAGCCAUGUAUUUUAAGCUUCCAAACCUGACCUGGUGGCCAGGGGCAUAACUUUCGAUCUGCUCCAGAUGGCCAAGCGAGUUGGCCCGUAGUGCAAAGCCGCCGAAUACAAAAAUCUGUCCGGGGAGAAAGUCUCACCCUGGGCUGCAUCGUUAUCAAUGAUCAUAGGAGCCAUCAAGCCUAACGGCGACGACAUAGAGGAACUCUCAAUGAAAGCACCAAUGUCGGUGUCAAAACCGGCGGAUCUCGGGUAGGGGGUCCCGAACUAUGCGUCUAAGGCGGAUGGUAACAGGAGGCAGGGGACAUGAUGUUUUACCCAGGUUCAGGCCCUCAUGAUGGAGGUAAAACCCUACGUCCUGCUUGAUUAAUAUUGAUGAUAUGGAUAGUACAAGAGUAGAUCUACCACGAGAUUAGAGAGGCUAAACCCUAGAAGCUAGCCUAUGGUAUGAUUGUAUGUUAUCGUGUCCUACGGACUAAAAUCCUCUGGUUUAUAUAGACACUGGAGGGGGCUAGGGUUACACAAGGUCGGUUACAAAGGAGGAGAUAUCCAUAUCCGUACUUCCUAGCUUGCCUUCCACGCCAAGUAGAGUCCCAUCUGGACACGAGACGAAGUCUUCAAUCUUGUAUCUUCAUAGUCCAACAGUCCGACCAAAGGAUAUAAUCCGGCUGUCCGGAGACCCCUAAUCCCGGACUCCCUCAGAGGGCCUUACCACCGUCGCAUAGAAGGGGACGACGAGGUUGGGGACGCAUUGAAGGCGGCGGAUCGACCGCCGGUGGCCGCGGAUGCAGUCGGGGAGGAAUGAUGAAAACAGCGGCGAUGCGGCGUCCCGACUUGAUCCACUUGAUGAUGAAGAAGAAGUCUUCCAUGGUGAAGCUCCCGGACACGCUAGAUCAGCACGGAGGCAACGAUGGUCGCAACGACGACAUGGCGGCGGACGAGCUCGGGAUCGAGCAAUUGGAGAGGGAG
rnacentral:lncRNA from 1 species